CAAUUGCAGAGUGAUGCAGGUUAUACCAAUAGCAGUUAAUGUUCUUCUUAAAUGUGGGCGAGCCCAAGAAAAAUAAGAGUAUAAAAGAGGAAACAGACCUGGAACUUAUUGUAAUAUACAUCCAUCCAUCCAUUAACCAGGUUUUGUUACUUAGUUGGAACUUAAGGCUAAGCUAGACUUAGUUCGAUACUUAUCCAUCCAUUAACCAGGUUUUGUUACUUAGUUGGACAGAUUCUGAUAAACUUAGCUAUAAAGUGGAAAUGAGUGAAAGUUUAACACUGUAGGGGCACAUAAUCCUUGUUUGCUUGUGACACAGAAUACUGCUAAUUAAUAUUGUGCUGAAAAUGACUUUGGCGAAUUCUCAUAAACUUUCAAAGUUUUGUCUUAAGAAGGUUAAAACUUCCUUAGAAACCUAUGACAAGCAGCUAUGAUGCAAUCAGUCAACCAAAUCAAAAGGGCAGACAAUUAUAUUAUUGAAAUGCUCAACGGAAUUGCAAAAAUUCUCUGCAUCCAAGCAAUGCAGAGCUAAAAACACCAUAGGAUCAUGCCUGUUGAAAUAGCAAAAUCCAUUUUCUUUCAAAAUCUGAUUUAUGGGAUCAUGCCUAUGAACUGCUAGCAACGUACAUACAUAAAAAUAAAACAGGUAACACAGGGACAGAGAAGUUGGUUGGUGGAUUGUGGCUGGGGUUAGAGGUGGAUGGAUGGACUGGAGACUGUAGUUGGUAAAUUAGAAACACAGCAGACAGAAGUGUCUUGGAAUCUCAUGACUUGGGAAGCUGCCCUGCUUGUGUUUCAUUUCGUUUGAGGAAAGAUUUCAGUAUAUUAAGACAAAAGUGUUUCCACGGUUAUAUUCCCUUUUCAAUCAAGCAGCUACGGCAAGAAUCAGCCCGUGGCUUCACAAACUCAAUGAAUUCACUAAAACUUUUACAAACGGUCUCACCAGAUUGUAAGAAAAAGCACUACCCUACCCUACCCUAUCCGGAUUCUGAUUCCAAGAAUCAUAAAACCCCAAAACUCAGCAGCCAAAUUAAUUCAUUAGCAUCAAUCAAAUCAGAUUUAACCCUAAUCAGGUAAGAACAAACUAAAACAAAAGCAACCCACAAAAAUUCAUUCAAAUGCAACUUCAAGAAUCUACACCAGUAAUUCUAGACAAUUUUUCAAAGGAAAAGGGAGGGGAAAAAAACUAAUAAGAGACCAUCAUACCUCUGGAAAUACUUAUGGAGUCUUCACCCUUGUUGGAAAUGCUAUUGUAGGAACGAGAAUGAGAUUGUGCUUAGGCCGUCAAACAAGCUACUGAGGCUGCAUAAGCAAACGCAUCCACAAUGGCGGGCACAGCUCACAAACAAAAAGCAGACUGAAGAGAGAGAGAGGGGGAGAUGGUUUAACGGCCGCAAUGGCUAAGUCUAGUUCCGAUGACCAGAGAAAUGGACGAAGAAACUCACACUCACACAAACGCAAUCCCACAUGACUUGAGCCGUUGAUAUUGGCAGCUUUAAAGGAAAAAAAUGAGAGAGAGAGAGAGAGAGAGAGAGAUGAUCUGUUACCUCCGAAAUUGGGUCUUUGCCGAGUUGGAGAUGCCGCUGCUGAAGAAGGGAUUUGUUCGCUGAUGAGAUGUCGCCGGAGCUUUUAUCGACGUAUCACUGGAGGCUUUUAUUUGCCGGAGCUGAGGAGAUGUCGCUGCGAAGAAGAAGACGGCCUUUUUUAGAAUGGAAAAUAAGUGAAGUUAUUUCCUUCCGUGGUUGUAACUUAUUUUCUGUCAGAAAUUAUUUUUUUCAAAUUAAUUGGCAACCAACAACAAAAUAUGGAAAAUAUUUUCUUGGAAAAGAUUUUUCUUCCAAACAAACAGACCCUGAAAACAUUUUCCAAGGGAAAAUAUUUUACACCCAACCAAACAGACCCCUUUCAAUUUUAUCAAAAAAUUGAAAAUUGCGGUUCAGACGGUUCGAUUUGGAUUUAACAGUUUGUACAGUUUUUACGGGUUUGACCGAUUUUUGGACAAGUCAACACAAGUUAUGAACCGGAUCGGACACAUGCCGGUUCGCGGUUCGAUCGGUUGAACUGGCCGGUUCGGUUCGGAUUUCAAAACAUUGCUACAGGUUGGUGAGUUUGAUAAUUUCUGGCGGGUAAUGUUAAUCGAUUAAUUGAGUACUGCAGCUACAGUAGAAAUUGUUUUCUCGUGCAUCAAAGCGAGUAAACGUGUAUUUCUCUACCGAGUGAAGAAACUUAAAAUGCUCAUGCUCCGUUUGUCAAAUAAAUUUUUUAGAUGUUUAUAUAAAAUUUUCUGUAACUUAUUAUAGAAAUUGUAGAUAAAUUUUUUAAAAUAUGUAAAUAUUUAGAUGUUUUGAAAUGUAUAGUUUAAAAAUUUUGAGAAGUUUUUUGAGAUUAUUGUAAUUAAAGUUGUUAAAAAAUUUAUAGCAGACAAACUCAAUCAAAAACUUAUUUGCCAAAUAGGCCCUUUGUCUGGUUCUUGAAUUCUUAAAAUCUGUUUGGAUUGUUUUUUUUUUUAAAAGGAGUUUUUGUAGAAAGAUGUGCUGUUGAAAAGUGUGCUCAUAAACAUGUAAUAAUUUUUAAAAUUUUUUCUCUUUUCUUUUGGUCGUGACCUUAAAAGAGUCGACACUAUUUUCUCAUCACAGUUUUAUUCCAACUAUGAUUAUAUUUCCCACUAAAAUUAACAACUCAUUUAGAUAACUCUUUCUUUGAUCCCUUCAAAGAAUGGGGUGUAACUCGAGAAUUUUUCAAAGAAUCACCAAUUCAAAAAAAUAAAAAAAUUAACUUCAAUUCAAAUAUUUUAAUAAAAUCCUGGUAUAUUAGUGCUGGUAUGAUCACAUGUAGAUAAUUCGUUCUCAAAAACUUGUUAUUCUCAUCUAAUUUUCAACCGGCUAAUUUUUGGAUACAUCUAUGACGCAUCUAGGGAAGGCAACAUAGUCCAGUCCAAAGUGUAAUGAUUAAAAAUGGGAUUGACACUCUAUUAGCCUUUAGGAACUUUUAUUUUUUAUUUUUUUCUUUUUUGGGUAAGAAUUAAUUAGAGCUUGGAACUAAUAAUGCUGUUAGGUUGCAUCUCUAUACCAUAUUAUGCUCUUAUAUUAAUACCAACAAAUUUUAUCUAGGCUCAAAUCAACCAUACAGCAAGUGGAGCAGUUAGUGUUUGAUCAAUAAAAAUGCUCCACAUUACUGGUAUUAGUCAUAUAUAUAUAUAUAUUAAAACAUUAGUUAAAUAUGUUAUUCUACUCUCUUACGAAACAUUCGAUCAUGCUUGUUUGAUUAGGAUGCUAACAGCUAUGCUAGAAGAUUCACAUUAAUUAUCUUUAGUUUGUUACACGAUGGACUUUAUGUCAAAAAUCAGAGCUUUAUACAUUUGGUGACUAUAAUCUUCUGGAGGAGUCACCCGAAGGAGUGAAUUUUGAGGAAGAACAAGUAAUUUUGUGUGUGAUUGGCAAUACAUAAUCAGAAUACAUACAGCGUUGACUCGCGAGAGUGCUGAUGGGAUGGGAUCCGAUUUUGUUUUCUGCUGACAUCUUAAAAAGAUAAGAUAAAAGUAACUACAAAAGCCGAAAUAGUUAUUCUAAUUGUACAUUUGAGAACAUCAUCACUUUCGAUGAAUGAUGAGCCAACACUCAUCAUUCAUCAGAAAUUCGAGUCAAUCUUUAUAGUUUGCUUCCCUUUCUUGGCCGGUUCUUACAGAGGUAAAAGAUCAUUUGAGAAGAUACAGAAUGUUGGAUAGUUGAAACUUGAAUCCCAAGACUUUGACUAAAUAAUACACUUUACAAAAUAUCAUCAUUACAUUCAUGGAAGUAUAUACUAUAUAGCUAGCAGUCUAGCACUUUGCUCAUACCAGUAGAGUCCAUGAUGGCCACUGAAUUCAAUAGAUUUGCUUUCUUGAUUCCCUACUUCCAGGUUCUUUGCUUGGCCAAUGCAGUUUCUUUUCAGAUAACUCGGUUUACUCCUGAUUUAAGCGUCAUACUCUAUGGAGGAGAUGCAAUAGCUUCAGUUGGAGAAAUUGAAUUCAACAAUGUUGAUUAUCUUUAUCAGGUUGGUCAAUCUAUCUAUUUAGAGCCUGUUCCUAUCUGGGAUUCACACUGAGGGAAAGUAGCUGACUUCACUACUCAUUUCUCCUUCCAUCAUUGACACUCAAAAUCGUACCCCUUAUGGCCAGGGGCUUGCUUUCUUUCUUGCUCCUGUUGAUUUUCAAAUCCCACCAAACUCGGGCUGUGGAUUUCUAGGAUUGUUUAAUACCAGCACAAGUGAUUCCUCCGACAACCAGAUAGUUUCGGUUGAAUUUGAUUCGUUUGCAAAUCCAGAAUGGGAUCCUCCUUUUGAACAUGUUAGUAUCAACAAUAAUUCAAUUACUUCCUCUAUAACCACGUCCUAGAAUGCCAGCUUGCGCAGGGGAGACCCUGCUAAUGCUUGGAUUAUCUACAAUUUUUCUACGGAAAAUCUGAGUGUUUUCUGGAGUUAUGGAUCAAGUCCUGACUCUAGUAUUUCUUAUCAGAUAAAUUUGAAGGAGAUUCUUCCUCAAUGGGCUGCAGUUGGAUUUUUAGCUGCCACAGGUCCGUAUGUUGAAAGACAUAUACUUGAAUCAUGGGAGUUUAGCUCGAACCUCGAUAUAGCAAAGACACGUGGGAGUAAAGCAAAGAAAAUUGGAUUAGUUGCAGACUUAACAGCAGCUGGAGCAAUCUUGAUUGUGGGUGGAUUAAUAGUAAUUGAAGCUUUAAGGAGAAACAAACAAUCUGCUAUGGCCAAUUUGGAAAUGGCUGCCAACUCGACAACUUCUACCAAUGAUGAUUUAGAAAGGGGGGCCAGGAGCAAAAAAGUUUUCUUACGAAGAUCUUGCUUCAGCUACUAAUAAUUUCUCCAACGAGAGAAAGUUGGGUGAGGGAGGAUUUGGAAAGGUUUACAAAGGUCAACUAGUUGAUUUGAAUAUUGCAGUGGCUGUGAAGAAGUUCUCAAGGAGUUCUAAGCAGGGGAAAAAGCAAUACGUAACUGAAGUGAAGAUCAUAAGUAGUUUGAGGCAUCGAAAUCUUAUCCAGCUUAUCGGCUGGUGCCAUGAUAGUGAAGAUCAUAAGUAGUUUGAGGCAUCGAAAUCUUGUCCAGCUUAUCGCUGGUGCCAUGAUGAAGGUGAGUUCUUGCUUGUCUAUGAAUUCUUGUCAAAUGGAAGCCUAGAUACUCAUCUAUUUGGCAGGAACAAUGUUCUUGGUUGGAGUCAGAGAUACAAAAUAGCACUCGGGUUGGCAUCUGCUUUGUUGUAUCUUCAUGAAGAGUGGGGACAAUAUGUGAUACACAGGGACAUCAAAUCAAGCAAUGUAAUGCUAGAUUCAAGUUGUAGUGCCAAACUUGGAGAUUUUGGCUUGGCUAGACUUAUGGACCAUGAACUAGGACCACGAUCGACAGGUUUGGCCGGAACAUUUGGCUACUUAGCCCCUGAGCUUGUAAGCACUGGCAGGCCUAGCAAGGAGUCCGAUGUAUAUAGCUUUGGGGUGGUCGCUUUAGAAAUUGGUAGUGGAAGGAAGUCUUCAACCGAUCCAAUGUCGACUCACGAAAAAUCUGAAACAGGACUCCUGGAAUGGGUUUGGGACUUGUAUGGAUCGGGGAAAGUUUCAUCAGCUGUGGAUAGGAGGUUAAACAAUGAUUUUGAUCUCAAACAAGUCGAGUGUUUGUUGAUAUCAGGCCUGUGGUGUGCUCAUCCGAACAGCAGUCUUAGGCGCCAUCCAUAAAACAAACAAUUCAAGUCCUCAAUUUUGAGGCAACACUUCUUAAGCUUCCAACCAAAAUGCUAUUGUUAACACUUCCUAAGCUAUUGUUAGAUUCACAAUCAGACACUGUAGUUACUACAAUUUGACAUAUCAUUGUCCUCGAAUAUAUUUACAUGGACAGACUUUGUUGACGGGAAUAUUCGAAAACUGGUCCUUAUUACUUUACAAAGUUUUUGAAAAAAAAUUUUUUUUUUUAAGUAUCACCACGUUAACAUAGAUUUGGGUAUGCGACAGAGUUAAGAGUUUCAUCAAAUUGAAGGGUGGAGCAUUUAAAUUGUACAUUAUACACAUAUUCAAAAACAACACUAAACAGUGGAUUUUUUGGAGUCGAGGAGGAAUUAUUGCAAAUAGAUCGGUGGGAUCUGCAAAAAAAGUAUUGAUCGAGUGGUGAGUGGCUAAUUCUUUCCGUAGGGCAAAAAUAAGAGGGAUGCUUAAAAUCAGCUGGCGUGUGGUCUGAAAUCAAAGCUUUGAGACUUGUUAAACCAUGGCUUGACGUGAAGCUAUCUAUGACAUGGCUCCUGUCAUGUGUGGAUGCUUCUCCUUCCUGCAAAGUAUACAAAAACUUCCUCGCUCCUUGCUGCCGUAUGCGGAUGGGGGCCUCAUAAAUUCCAUUUCAAAAGAUGAUCCAAGGACAAACUUGUGGGAAAUGGAACUUGUGAAGCCCAUCCACCGAGUGAAGGGAAACUUGUCUGUGCUUGAAAAAUGUUUCUCUUUGUUUGUAACUUCAAUACUUGAUAGUUUGGGAAUUGAGAUUCAAAGAGCAAAGACGAAAAAACAAUACAGAUAGCCCGUAUGCAAACCUGAUUCCUGGAGAUAUUUUCUGUAGGCUCGUUCAUUCAUUUUUUAAAGCAUGUAAAUAUUUAGAUAUUUUGAAAUGUAUAGUUUAAAAAUUUUGUGAAAUUUUUUAAGAUUACUGUAGUUAAAAUUGUUAAAAAAUUUAUAGCAGACAAACUCGAUCAAAAACUUGUUUACCAAACAGACCCUUUGUCUGGUUCUUGAAUUCUUAAAAUCCGUUUGGAUUGUUCUUUUUUUUUUUUUUUUGAGUUUUUGUAGAAAAAUGUGCUGUUGAAAAGUAUGCUCAUAAACAUGUAAUAAUUUUUAAAAUUUUUUCUCUUUUCUUUUGUUUGUGACCUUAAAAGAGUCGAUGCUAUUUUCUCAUCACAGUUUCAUUCCAACUAUGAUUAUAUUUUCAACUAAAAUUAACAACUCAUUUAGAUAACUCUUUCUUUGAUCCCUUCAAAGAAUGGGGUGUAACUCGAGAAUUUUCCAAAGAAUCACCAAUUCCAAAAAAAAAAGAAUUAACUUCAAUUCAAAUACUUUAAUAAAAUCUUGGUAUAUUUGUGCUGGUAUGAUCACAUGUAGAUAAUUCGUUCUCAAAAACCUGUUUGCUCAUCUAAUUUUCAACCGAUUAAUUUUUGGAUACAUCCAUGACGCAUCUAGGGAAGGCAACAUAGUCCAGUCCAAAGUGUAAUGAUUAAAAAUGGGAUUGACACUAUUAGCCUUUAGAAAUUUUUAUUUUUUAUUUUUUUCUUUUUUGGGUGAGAAUUAAUUAGAGCUUGGAACUAAUAAUGCCGUUAGGUUGCAUCUCUAUACCAUAUUAUGUUCUUAUGUUAAUACCAACAAAUUUUGUCUAGGCUCAAAGCAACCACAUAGCAAGUGGAGCAGUUAGUGUUUGAUCAAUAAAAAUACUCCACGUUACUCGUAUUAGUCAUAUAUAUGAGUGUCAAUACAUAAGCAGAAUACAUGCAGCGCACUUGGGAUUCUCGGUGACAUGUUUUCUAUGCCAACCCAAUGUCACUAAUAGUAUUGCGCCAAGUGUCAUGUUAUUAUUUACACUUGUGUUAAACCAAACCAAGUUGAAUUAUUAGAAAAUUAAAAUGUAAAUAAUAACAAGACACUCGUUGACUCUCGAGAGUGCUGAUGGGAUCUGAUUUUGUUUUCUGCUGACAUCCCAAAAAGAUAAGAUAAAAGUAAAUAAAAAAGCCGAAAUAGUUAUUCUAAUUGUACAUUUGAGAACAUCAUCACUUGACUUCUCUAGAAAUUCGAGUCAAUCUUUAUAGUUUGCUUCUCUUUCUUGGCCGGUUCUUACAGAGGUAAAAAGAUCAUCCGAGAAAAUACAGAAUGUUGGAUAGUUGAAACUUGAAUCCCAAGACUUUGACCAAAUAAUACACUUUAUAUAAUAUUAUCAUUACAUUCAUGGAAGUAUAUACUAUGUAGCUAGCAGUCUAGCACUUUGCUCAUACAGUAGAGUCCAUCAUGGCCACUGAAUUCAAUAGAUUUGCUUUCUUGAUUCCCUACUUCCAGGUUCUUUGCUUGGCCAAUGCCGUUUCAUUUCAGAUAACUCGGUUUACUCCUGAUUUAAGCGCCAUACUCUAUCGAGGAGAUGCAAUAGCUUCAGUUGGAGAAAUUGAAUUCAACAAUGUUGAUUAUCUUUAUCAGGUUGGUCAAUCUAUCUAUUCAGAGCCUGUUCCUAUCUGGGAUUCGCACUCAGGGAAAGUAGCUGACUUCACUACUCAUUUCUCCUUCAUCAUUGACACUCAAAAUCGUACCCCUUAUGGCUAGGGGCUUGCUUUCUUUCUUGCUCCUGUUGGUUUUCAAAUCCCACCAAACUCGGGCGGUGGAUUUCUAGGAUUGUUUAAUACCAGCACAAUUGAUUCCUCCGACAACCCAAUAGUUUUGAUUGAAUUUGAUUCGUAUGCAAAUCCAGAAUGGGAUCCUCCUUUUGAACAUGUUGGUAUCAACAAUAAUUCAAUUACUUCCUCUAUAACCACGUCCUGGAAUGCCAGCUUGCGCAGGGAAGACCCUGCUGAUGCUUGGAUUAUCUACAAUUCUUCUACGAAAAAUCUGAGUGUUUUCUGGAGUUAUGGAUCAAGUCCUAACUCUAGUAUUUCUUAUCAGAUAAAUUUGAAGGAGAUUCUUCCUCAAUGGGCUGCAGUUGGAUUUUCAGCUGCCACAUGUCCGUAUGUUGAAAGACACACACUUGAAUCAUGGGAGUUUAGCUCGAACCUCGAUAUAGCAAAGACGCGUGGGAGUAAAGCAAAGAAAAUUGGAUUAGUUGCAGACUUAACAGCAGCUGGAGCAAUCUUGAUUGUGGGUAGAUUAAUAGUAAUUGAAGCUUUAAGGAGAAACAAACAAUCUGCUACGGCCAAUUUGGAAAUGGCUGCCAACUCGACAACUUCUACCAACGAUGAUUUAGAAAAGGGGGCAGGACUUUUCUGGGUGGAAAGUCAGUACUGAAUCUAUGAUACGGCUGCUUGAAGAUCCUGAGAAACAGUAUCAGCUGUAUUUGGAGAAAGAGAGGGAAAAGGAUCAAAGUGAUGAUGAAGAACGUCCCAGUGAUGAGGAGGGUGAGGUGGAAGGAGGACUAUUUGAAAAUACUAAUAUAAGUGACAGCCAGGGCAAAGUGGACGAGAUUGACAGUCAAGGCUCAAAAAAAGAAUAAGCCUAUGAUCUGUUAAGAAAGUUAUUGUUCAAACUUUAAAGGAGAACAAGAAGAAAAAAUCAAAGGACAAAGCAGCUUCUAAGAAAUCGAAGCACAACAUGGAGGAGAAAAAUAUUGCUGGUAGCAAGACAAACAAAAGAGAGCCAGACAAUAAGUCGGUUACUCUUCCGUCAUUUGAUGAGUUUUUUAUCAAGGAAUUUAAAUUGAUUGGGACUCAGCUAAUAUUUUGUAUAACAAGCUUGUACACCCACAUGCCUACAUCUUUCAUUCCAGUGGAGGUAGCAAAGAAUAUGAAAAGGGUUUCUGGCAUGCUACAAGCUCUUGGAUCUUUGAUACAUAAGGUCACUUCUGCUAAUGAAGGGCUAAGAGAAGUCAUCUAUGGAAUUGAAACUGCAGAAAGAAGGAAAAGACGCUUCAUUGAAUUGCGAAGGCCUAGAAUGGGAUGCCUGCAAAACCUGAAACAUCUUCAAGAAAAAAUCUCUCUUCCAAGCUUCUCUGAAGAUUAUCAAAUUAGAAGCUUCUGUUUACAGACAUCUUUCUUGGUCUUUUGUACUGCUUCAACCUCAGCUAAGUUGCAUGUGGAAGGAAUAGCACCGCUGGAAUUAUUGGUCAUUGAUGAAGCUGCACAGUUGAAGGAAUGCGAGUCCGCUAUACCCCUUCAGAUACCUGGUAUCCGCCAUGCUAUACUUAUUGGAGAUGAGAAACAACUACCAGCAAUGGUUCAAAGCCAGGUUGUCGAAUUGAACAUGUUUUACUCGUCUAUUUUUAGAAAUUUAAUGUGUUUCUGUUUCUGACUCUUCUGGUAUGUCGUAAGCAGAUAUGUGAGAAGGCCAACUUUGGAAGAAGCUUAUUUGAAAGGCUAGUGAUGUUAGGACAUCAAAAGCACCUUCUCAAUGUCCAGUACAGGAUGCAUCCAUCGAUCAGCUUAUUUCCAAAUAGGGAGUUCUAUGCAAAGCUAAUAAUGGAUGGUCCCAAUGUGAAGGAUGGAAAAUACAAGAAGCACUUCCUGGAAGGGUCCAUUUUUGGAUCAUACUCAUUCAUUGACAUCAACCCUGGUAAAGAGCAGUUUGAUGACAAGCAUAGUAGGAAAAAUCUCGUGGAGGUUUAUGUAGUUGCCGAGAUCAUUGCUAACCUUCAUAAAAGUAUGCUUCCCUGCAAACUCUAGAGUAUCAUAUUUUUUUUUCUCCUUUUUCUUUGGACUUGUAUGCAGCUAAGCUGAUAUCUCAUCGUCCCUUUCUCAAUAGGGUCUCUCAUUUCAAAGCAGAAGCUCCGUGUUGGCUGCAUAUCACCCUACAAAGCUCAAGUUUCUGCAAUUCAGGAAAAACUUGGCCAGAAAUAUAGUACGGACACAGGCAGUGACUUCUCUGUUAAUGUUCGUUCUGUCGAUGGAUUUCAAGGAGGGGAAGAAGAUGUAAUAAUUAUUUCAACAGUGCGGUGUAAUGGGGGUGGAUCAGUUGGCUUCCUUUCCAACCAUCAAAGGACUAAUGUGGCUCUCACUCGAGCGAGGUAUGAAUUUAAUGUAAGAGAAACUUGAACAUAAAUGAAUUUUAUAGGUCCUCUCUAUUUUAUGCGUGCAAGAUGAUGCACAAGCACGUUGUUUGUAAAAGCACUUAUGGCUUGAUUUACAGGCACUGCCUUUGGAUACUGGGAAAUAGUGCAACCCUCGUGAAUAGUCACUCCAUUUGGAAGAAACUAGUAUUGGACACAAAGGCUCGGGGUUGUUUCCAUAAUGCUAGAGAUAGCAAGAUCUUGGUUCAAGCAAUUUCUUCUGCCUUAAUUGAGUUAGGCCAAUUUGAUAACCUACUCAGUACCGACUCAGUGCUGUUCAAAACAGCGAGGUGGAAAGUAUGUCUCAGUUGUCAUACUAAAGUAAUAACUUGGUGGGCUAGUUUGUUGCUGUUUUUGGUAGUUUUUAUUUAAUGCUCGCUAUAAUUUCCUUUUACAAGUGGUGUUGCUGACUGAUUCAACUAUCCUUGGGUUUAUACAAUAGGUUUGCUUCAGCGAUGAUUUUUCAAAAUCACUUGCAAGAAUUCGGGAUCCUGAGAUCUGCAAGGAAGUUCUUUCUCUUCUAGUGAAGCUUCCGAGCGGCUGGCGCCAGCCUCCAAGUGACACUAGUAGAAUUGAGUAGGUUAUCUACCACAGGAAAAAUCUCACAUCAUGGCGAGGUUCCAGUACAAGGGCACCGUACCGAAACACAUCACAUCCCAAUAUUUUUCCGCUACACCUUCUCUACUUUGAUUAUUGAUACGUUAUCUUGGUCAAGAUUAAUGGUACUUCUUCCCUGUUGUUGGAGAUGUAUGAUGUGAAGGGUCUGAAACUGAUGUGGACAGUCGGCAUCCAGAAGUUCAUUUCAAUUGACAUGCAAGUUAUAAAAGUUUGGGAUAUUUUGGCAGACUCGGAGAUACCAAACUUGGCAAAGCAACUUGACAAGAUAUUUGGAAGCUACACACUGAACACUGUGAAUCGUUGCAAAGUCAAACGGAUGGAAGGGUAACCUUACAAUCUAUAAUCUUGUCAUAGUUAAUGUUUUGCAUUAGUACAUUCUGUUCGAAUGGCAUUCUUUCGGCCUCUCAAUUUCUAUCGUAGAGGAGCAGCUGAUUCUGGCAUAAAGUCACAAACUGGUUUCUCUAUCUUUUUAACUUUUCCUCUCACACCCAUUUUUUCGGUCACUAAUCUCUGUUUGCAUCGCCAUUCUCAGUAUUAAGUGCGUACUCUGGAUCACCAUCUUGUAGAAACUUUAAUAGGUUGUCUAGCCAAAGUUAAGAAGAGCUGAAUACAAAGGCUUCAUUUGCUGCAGGAAUUUAGUAGUUCCAGCUACGUGGCCAUCGGAAUCAAAAUCUGUUACUGGUGAUGAUCCAAGUGAACACUUGGCAAGUAAACUUGCCCGAAUCAGUCUAAGGGAUGAGCCAAGACCAUCUACAAGGAGUUACAGGUGAGUAUCUAAUUCUUGAAAUUGUCACUUCACAUUAUGAUUGAACACAAACCACACCACAUUAUGAUUUUCUCUACCGCCUUUUCCUCCCCGAAUAUUGAUUUAUGUGUUGUUUACCAGCAGUGCGCUAACUCACGGGAAGCACCACAAGAAGUGGAAGAAGUCACAGAAGUGAAAAUUGGAGUGAGACAAGAUCACUGAAGAUUCUUCUUGCGUAGUCUAUGCAAAAGUUGAAAUCAAUGAUUUAUGGGUAGGAAUUUUAUCAGUAUGUAUUGAUGAGUUAGGAAGGUACCAUAUUUGCAGUAGAUUAAAUUUACCUGAAACCAUGUGUAAGAAAUUCAGGGAAACUUGACUUGGCUGGGGAAAUUUUUACGAGAACAAGCUGUAAAUUAAAGGAUGGUGCUGUCCUCUUGAAACUCCAGAAUGUUAUUGGGUGUCUUCGGUUUCACUUCUGUAAGCAGUGCUGAACCCUCAUUAUGCUUGUCAUGGUAUAUAUGUGUGUGUGUAUAUAUAUAUAUAUUUACGAAAAAAAACUUACAUUAUACUACUAUGUUAUAACGUUUGCUGUUUUUUCUAAGAUUAUAUGUUGCAUUUCUGUAAGCAGUGCUGAGCCCUCAUUAUAUACUUUAUUUUGCUUCAUCUUAAAAUGCUUGUCAUGGUUCAUAAAUGAAAAUAAAUAAAUCCCAAAUUUCAUAUUUGUACCCUUGACACAAUAUUCAGUUAAAAAAAAAAUUUCAAGUUCUGUUUCUCCAAUAACUAAUGUUACAAACCAUUUUUGUAUUUUAGUUCUUUACCUUUUUCAAAACUCUGAAUUCAAUUAAACCAUCUUUCAAUUUUGGCUCUUUUAAAAUUCUAAAAUACUAGAAGAGAGCUUAUAUGUACAAAUAUACAUACUCCUCUCUCUAGCUUUCUAAUCUCCUCGAGCCUACUUGCUUGUUUAAUAAAAGGGCCGCGGGGGGAACUCAAUAUUUUUAACCUUCAACGAUUUGAAAGAUCAGGGGAAGAAGAUCAUACAACUCGAAAGUUUAUCAAUCGCACAACAAAUUAAUCUACAAAGACCUCCGACCAAUCUAAUGUCAAGUUCUGCAAAUCCAUCCAGAAGGAGAGAGAAUAUUCCCACUUCGGAGAUUAGAAUGAAUUCCACGAAAUGAAUAUCCCCGUUUUUCUCAUCCACGAAAUGAAUGAAUUCCAAGAAAUGAUCUGCACCUACAGAGAUUACUUCGGUCAAGGAUGCUAACAUUGAGGCUUACCACCUGCAAAGAAAAGAAUCUACUAUUGCCAGCAUGCACCAUUUUCUGCUACCUCAUUCUAUUCUACCAUGGAAGAAUUAUUCAUCAGGAAGAAUUCUGUUUCAUUUGCUGCAGGCCCUUGGAAUCAAAUCCUGUUAUUGAUGAUCCAAGAACGUCUAAGAGGGGUUUUAGUUGAGUAUCUACCACAGGAAAAAUCUCACAUCAUGGCGAGGUUCCAGUACAAGGGCGCCGUACCGAAACACAUCACAUCCCAGUAUUUUUCCGCUACACCUUCUCUACUUUGAUUAUUGAUACGUUAUCUUGGUCAAAACUUGGUAGAAUCGACUUUCAAAAAUCUAGUGAAUCAGAUUGUGCAACACCAUUUAGUGAGAUGUGUGCUAUAAUCUAGACCAUUGUAUUUCUGACAAUUAGAUCUAUUUCAAGUGUGAGCCAAAGCACAAAAGUUAUCGCUCCUUAACUUAGUAGCAGCAUACUAGCAUCUAUAUGCUAUAUGAUAAAAGCAGAUAAUUAUUCAAAAUCCCAGCAUUUUCAGCUUAGUGACAUCAGGAGUCUUAACCCUCAGACGACCAUGCACUUUUCUCUACGACAAAGGAAAUCCUUCAGAAUUUGUUACAUCUCUGUAUUCAGAACAAAUGAGGAGUGUUUGGAUAGGAAAAAUAUCUUAAAUAAUAUUUCGCUUGCAUCAUAAACACAUUUUUUAACCUAUCUUUUUAUAUUUCCAAUCACUUUUUUAUCUCACAUACAUCACAUCACAAAAAGUAUUACAGUAAUUAUUCUAAAUAAUAUUUCAGAUAAUACUCUAUCCAAAGUUGGUCUUUGUUAAUGGGAUUGAUGAACUCAAAAGAUUUCAGCCUAAUGAAUAAAUUGUAUUCAUAAUAUUAUAACUGUUUAGCCCUUAAAAAGGUGGCCUUUACUGAAAAAAAAAAGAAAAAACAAUGUGACCUUUAUUUAGUUCUUUGAGCCCCAAUGGGUUAAUCUUAACUUAAUUAACUUAUAAUUAAUUUACUUAUUAUCUGGUUGAGUGGAUGUGCUGUCUAAACCAUGACUCUUAGAUUAGGCUUAACGGACAAAUAAUAGAUUUCAACCUUUAGAUAAAUUUCAAUUAAACUCUAAUUACAAUUUCGCUAUUGUUACCUACAAAACAUUUCUUGCACAUUGCUACUCUUGCCAUUGCACAUCGUUUUUUUUCCUUUUGCCUUUUAUUCACGCCAAGUCAAAUAAAUCUAGCCCUUAUGUUUAUGGGUGUUCAUUGGCCAAUAAUCGGGGAUUCGAAUUAUGAACCGAUUAUAUGUUUUUCCAAUAAAAUUCAAUCAACUCAAACAAAUAUGAUAUGAAAAAAAACAAGGUUCAUAAUUCUAAGUCCUAACUCAUAAUUUCAACUCUUAAACAACAUUGAAAUAUAUAAGAACUUCAAAUUUAAUUAUUAAGCAAAACUUCAAUGUAUCAACUUCCAUUAAAAUUUUACGUCCAAUUACAGUUAUAGUUAAGUUAACUAAUUAGUAUUUAGUGAUAGGAUUAAGAUUUACUCUAAUAUUUAGUAGGAUACAUAAGUGGGCAUGUAUUCUACUUUGACUCCUUAUUGAUUUUAUGUGAAAGAAUGGUUUAUUGAAUUGUUCUUGAAAUUCUAAGUGGGCAUGAAUAACUUAAGACUGAAUUCUGCUAGUCUAACUAUUAUAUAAAAACUUAAAACUACAUUCACCAAGAAGUAUCACGUGAAUAACUUAAACUAAUUUGGCAUUCUUUGAUUGGUUUGUUGUUUGGGAUAAUUUCAAAAACCUCCCAUGAGGUUUUUAACAAUUUUAUUUAGCUCAUUUAAGAUUUUAAAAAUUAUACAUGCCCCUCUUGUCAUUUAAAAUAACAAUACUAUCCUUAAAUAUUUUAAUGAAAAUUUCCUGUUUGGUAUGUUAAUAUUUAGAAUAACUUUUAAAAUUAUUUUUUAUUCUUUUAUUCUUUUUAUUCCUUUUUUAAUUUUUUUUCAAUAAAACUGUAGAACUACCACUAUCACUUCUAGAUUUUAUUGUAACCAAAUAUCAAACUAAAGAUUUUGUUUUUUGAUGAAUUAACUUUAUAUGCAAUCCAAUGUUUUUGCUGAUAUUUGUUUUCCAUUUUUUGAUAUUAAAAUUAACAAUAAAUCAAAAGGAAAUGACCCAAAAUCACUACUAAAUUAUAAUAAUCUCAUUACUUGAAAAAUUUAUAAAGUCUAAAUGAAUUAUUUCAACAUUUUCUUUUCUAUCUUAUAAAUUUAAAUUUAUAAUAAAAUACCAUCAAAAUAUUCUAUCAUAGUGAUAAAAUUAUUAUUAUAGUUAUUUAUCAAAUAGUAAGUAUGUAUAUGAAAAAUUUGGCACAUUUUCUUAUAAUUAUACUAGAUAAUCUUAUAAUUGUAUGGGAAAGUAAAUUAAAACUCAUUAAACAAGAGCAUUUUUGGGUAUUUAUUUAAAAAUUUGACCAAGUCAAUAUUAUUUUAAGGUUUUGUUACUAAAAUUAUCAAAUCAAAGGAGGUAGUGUAAUUUUUCAAAUUUCAGGAGAGUUCAGUGAAAUUGUAGAAACCUCAAGGAAGGUUUUUGAAAUUAUCCACUAUUGUUUUAACACUAACUUCACUAACAAUUGUCAUCUGCAAUUGACUGCUUGGUGGGACAUGUGUCUUUGGUAUAUGUUUAACCAUGGAGGGUUGUUUUAGUAAUAUGAGUGCUUGGUUCAAAUUAGUGAUGCAUGUGGUACAAAUACAUACAGCUUUUGGUAAUUUCCUGUUAACACAUUUAACCCUUACAUUAAUUUACCAUUCAAUUAAAAGAGUUGAGUUUGUGAGUAUUGAAAUCAAGAUUGAAUUAUGCUCUGGUAAUGGCUAUCUCAUUCUUACAAUAUUGGUGAAAGGUUUAAUUGUCAGCAUUCUUCCGUUUGGGUCUUCUUGAUUUUUUCGAUUUUAAAUUCUGUUGGUGUUUUUUAGUCUUUCGUAUGUAUUAGAAGGCUAUGUAAAUGACUCAUUGCAAUGUACUUCUUGCAAGCAUACUGUCUGGUUUCAAUUUAGGCUGGUUCCAUCUUUAAUUUUGCUUUCAAAGAUCACAAGGAAUUUGAUGAUUUUGAUUAAAUGUUAGCUAUUAGGAAUUCAAUAGUUUGUCGUUUCUUGUUAAUGCAUUUUUAGUUUAAUUCCUUAUAGCCAAAAUCUAAACCUUUUCUUUCAUGGGAUAUUUGUGGAAAUAGUUGUAGAACUUCUUAGAGCAGAGAUUCAUCAGGAAAUUUGCUGAGACAGGUAUGUCCGAUAGCUUUGCCUUUUAAUUUUCCACUUUUCACUUUUAUAGAUGUUUAAUUGUAUUGGAUUUUAGUUUUGGUUAUAAUAAUGUUGUUGUUUAUUGUUUACUCUCUCCAAGAGUUUUUUCCCCUCUGCCGUGUUGUCUACUGUAUCGGAUUUCAGUUUUGCCACCAAUAAUGUUGUUAUUCUUUGUGGAUUUGCUAUAAGAGUUUUUCCCUUCUGACAUGUGCUUGUGGCUAAGUAUAGUGCAGUAGUUAAGUAUACUUUAUCUCUUGAUUAUCUUUUUUUUCCCUCUUGUUGCACUUUUGCUAUAAGAGAUGUUGGACUGGCCAACUGGUUUUGGUAUAUGUGAUUUUGCCAUAUCUGGAUUCGGUGUUUGUGAAAUAGCUUUGAUUAGAGAAUUCCAACCCGCUCAAUAUCUACUUAAGUAGUGGCAGGAGAUCUGAUGCCUUUAUAUAUUAAUCCACUUCCAUGUUAUUACAUAUAAAUUUGAUAAAUAGCUUAUGAUAUUUUUUUGUUAAUUAUCAUUCCUACGAUAAUAUAUUGGUCCACCUAAUGUGCCAUGCCAAUAUACUGUUAUCUUAGAUUUAAUCAAUUUUCUAACUUACAAAUCUCAAUGAUGUAAAAGAAUAUUUCCUGACAGCAAGACUGAAAUUUAUAAUUUCUAAUGAGUAAUUAAUUUUCAUGAAUAAUUACCAAUCAAUCUAUGCACUUAUUACUUUGAUCACGUGCACUUGAGGACAGGCAAUUGUUCCCCUUCAAAUAGUAUGAAAUUAUAGAAAAUACGUGCCGUAUAAUUUUGUAGUCAUUUUUGUGACGCCCCCACUUCUCCCUAAGGUGAACCAAAGAGUAUCCGCGGGACGCCUGCCCACCUCUCGCUAGGACUCGGUACAAUUUCCGUUCAAACUUAAUACAAUAAUAACUAAUAUGACAAGACAAAGUAAGAAAGUGUGGAUGCUUCCAUAUAUAAUAUCCGGUCUUAGACCACAAGUGCAAAAUACAUCAAUUUUCUAAAAUAUACAACUGUCAAAAAAUGCCUAGUCGAUUACAUUUGAAACCUUAAUACAAAAGUACAUCCCAAGGGUUUCUCCGAGUUUCACUCCACAUCCAUUCCUAUUAAGGAAAACAAAUAUAUAGGGUGAGCGAUUGCUCGUGAGGCCAAGAGCACACAUGCAAGCACGUUGUCCAAGUAACAAUCUCAUUGAACAAGUAAAACAAUAAUAUUCAAGUAAAUAACAAUUCGGGCGAGAAAAGUAAACAGAAACAAUUCAAGGAUACAAGAGCCAUCAGGGGUUAUUUUCCACUUGCACGAUCAUGAACCUCCACGAGUUGACACUCCGUCAAUCGGAUAGGUUAUAGUAUGUAGAACUUCACUUACUCAUUCCCUGUUCACCGUUACUCCCCUGCUCCGGGCCCGCACGUUCUUUUGUUAUAGGCGAUAUUGCUCGAGUAUGCCAAGCAAGAUCUCCCGAGUAGAUCGAGCUUAUACACGUUUCUCAUGGCUCACCAAACUUCUCGACCAAUCCCAUGCCGGCUCGAGUCGCAAGAUCGGCCGAUGAGAUUUGGGCGUCACCCACUAGUAUCACUAGGAGUCAAGAAGAUUCACUCCAAUCGACUUAUGCAACCAUAACAUAAUUAAUCACUGAAACACUUCACUUAAUUCACUUAACAAGUCACUUCAAGCAAUUCACUUCAAGUAAUUCAAGUACACUUCAUGUAAAUAUUCACUUCAAGUAAUUCAUGUACACUUCACUUAAAUGAGAAUGAGUGCGAUAAAGUACACACUCAGCUCAGCAUUUUUAAAAUUUUUAAUCACUAAUAACGAUUAAACACGUAAUAAGUUCACAUACACUUGACACUCACCAAAUAAUAUAAGGAGUAAAGCACAAUCAGAUGUCUGGACGUCUCCUGUGAGAUCCUCUUGAAGGUCUCCUUGAGUGCUUGAGCAAACAAUAAUUAACUAUUACUCACUAUCACUUAUAAAUCCUUUCUUAACAAGAGAGGGAUUGUACACUUGCACAAUUUAAGAAAAAUACCAUGAAAUGGAGCUUUACUUGCUCAAAAUUCAAGGUUCAAAAGUGGUGCUUAAUAACACAAGAAAAACUGAUUUCCUUCAUGAAAACAAGUCCAAAAUGGUCAAUUAGUAUUGAAGGAUAGGGAAGAGUCUCCAAAACUCAAUUCCCGUCAAGUUUGAAAAUUUCAGUUUUAAGGAGUAAUCUUUGAAAAAUCAUAUCUUACACUCUGUAGGUCCAAAAUUGAAAAACUUGGUACCAUUGGAAACUAGUUCUUAAGUACUAAAAUUUCUUAGAAGACACUUUUCUAUGAUUCUAAAUGGAAGACACUCAAAUUUCGGCUUAAAGUUGCUGAUUUGCACUUCCAAGACAGAUUCGGGGUUGGUUUUUGGCGAAAUUUGGAAAUUCGGAAAAAUUCAUAAAAUGUGAACUAGCCUCUCAAAUUUGAAACUCAAUUGUAGUUACAAUCAAGGUUUAAAACACAACAAACGGAACAAGAAUCGGAGUUUUGAGCGCCAAGAUAUAGCAGCUCAAAUUUGAUUCAAAAUGGGGACUAUUAGGCAAUUUUUCAGAUUUGAAACAUAAACUUUGGGAUUUUAAUUGGGUAUCGAAAUGAACUUGGAAUUACACUACCAUAUGAGGGCUACUCCUCUGUCAAAUUUCAUGCAAAAAUUCGUAUAGAAAGUCAGUUAACAAGACCACUAAAAUUUCAGGAAUUUCCAAGGCAAAUCUGCCUUAUGCUUCCAUUUUCUUUUUUUCAAACAUUUGGCCAAUGAAAUCAUCUCAAAUAUGGUUUAUUUAUGAAAAAAAAGGUCUAAUACACAUUUAGUAGGUGAUCAACACCAAAAGUUUCAAAAUAACAAGUCCCAAUUCGAGCUAAGCCAUUCGGCUAGCCAAAACUAGGGUUUUCUAUCACUGGCGCAAUUCUGUAAUUCGACCACAACUCACUCAAUUCAACUUGGAAUUGAGCAUGGUUGAUGGCGUUAGAAACUACAUUCAUAGGGCUACAAUUCAUUAGAAGAAAGUGUUUUGAAAUUCAGUUCAUAGCUAGCUCAAAUUCAGGCAACAAGUCCUAGCACUUCAUUGACUCUCUAGCAUAGCAGUAAAACAGGACAUGUAAAUUUGAAAAACUGGUACGGCUCACUCAGUUCGAAUCAAGGAAUACAUUUUAUACUGUUAGAAAACUGGAAGUAUCUAGUUUCAAAUUCCGCAAACAGCACUCGAUUUCGAUGUCGGAGCAAAAUGUUGUGGUCGUUUAAAGGUCGCUACCAGAGUACCUCUGUACACGUUUUCCAGGUUUGAACAUGUUUCGAAAAUGCAAAUUUUACCCAACCAAAUCAAGUGAUUUUUGGUGGAAACAUUUCACACAACAUAUACAACAUAUUUAAAUAAAAAUCAAGGUCAUUUGAUCACAAAAAAAAUCAAACCAAGGGUUCGGCAAGAAUAGAGCAGAUUCGGCCCUUUCUCAUGCAAGCUUUCCGUUGAUUUUCUUUCCACUUUUCAACUUAUAUCCACUAGUUUAGCACUUAAUCAACAUAAAUAACAUCCAAAAUCAUCAUAUCAGUCCAACAUGUCCAUUGUGGGAUUUGAUAGAGCCCACUCAAGUGAUUUUCAACCAACCAAAGUUACCCACAUGAAGCUACAAGCUUCCAAAUCCAAUCUAACUCACAAAAAUCAAGUUUAGAAGGUUAGAUGGUUACCACCUCUUGGUUGAUGAUAAAGCAGAAAUUUUCGGUCACUAGGUGCUCCAAAAAACCGGCUGGAUGAAGCUCCUCACCUAGCUAGAGUUGUUCAUCUAGUAUUAUGGAAGUUGUGUGCAAAAUUUGAGGUGAAAUGGUGCAAGAUUUGAGUGAGAUGAUGAAGGGUUUUGGUCUCCUUCUUGGCUUGAGGAUUUCGGCAGCUUUGAGAGGGUGAGAGAGAGUGAAAAUCUGACAGUGAAGCUUCUUGGAGAAGCUUGUGGUUGGUGGCCUUUUUGGCACAAAAGUCAACUCUCACUAGCGCGCGUACGCGCGCGUUUCAUGCCCGUUUCCUCUCGGAUUUGUUUUACUUGUACACUAAACUUCUAAUGCACUUCCUUUAUCACUAUUAUUAUUCACUCUUAAUAGUCUAAAAAUAAAUGUCCAAAGUCCCUCAAUUAGACACGCGCGCGAAAACGAGAACUUCCAACUUGUGCGCGGUAAAAUGCAAUUUCUAAGAAAUUCUUGUAACGAUAGUAUAACUAACUAAUACUUGGGUAAUUAAUCAUAAAAAUAACUAUUUUAGAAAUAAAAACAUAGCCCUCACACGAGUCUAGUAUUAAUUCCUCAAAUCACCAAUUAAUUUGUACCAGCGCGUCUUUCGAAAAAUUUUCGACGCGCGGGCGGUAUAAACUUAAUUAGGACUCAUUCACCUCUACUUCCUCAAUUAACUUUUCUAAAUCUACUAUUGAUCAUUCUUAAUUCUCCAAAAAUAUUACACUCUUGAUUCAAUUAUUGCCUCGAAGAACGUGAACUCGUUAUUCCUCACUUAAACGAACCUCCAAAAAAUUAAAUUUGCUAACGGAAUGUUUUAAAACAUAGGGGAGACAUCGUUCCAUACAAAUGGAUUUAAAAUGGUUGAAAUAAAUUAUUCGGAGAAAAUAGGUGAAUAAAUAUUUAAAUAAACCAGUAAUAUUCGAUAAAAUAAGAAAAUUUUCGGGUCCUCACAAUUUUCACUUUUACACGUUGUUGGUCCUCCUCAAUUUCUUAAAAACACUUAUUUGCUCCCUUCAUAUUGAUAAUUUUGUAAAGUUCUAUUACAUUAGACCCCUAGCAUUUACAAAAUUCACACAUAUAUAUAUAUAUAUAUAUAUAUAUAUAUAUAUCCUUCAAAUUUCUAAAAUGCUAUCCCAAUGUGAAAUACUACAUACUUCACUUUAUAAAAUAAAAAAAAAUCAUCUUUAUUAGUUUAAGCAUAAGGAUGAUGUUAAUUAUAACUCUAAAAUAACAAUUUUUAUAUAAGGGAUAUGCAAUUGGUAUAUAUGUUUUUUCUCGUUAUGUUCUUUACUUUACUCGGUUUGUUACUCAUCAUUGAACCGUGAUUUAUUCCUCGUCUAUUAGAAAUAUAACUAAAAGUUUAAGAACACAGCUCAUUGCAUAACCAAUUCCAAAACUGCAAAUGCAUCAUCCUUCGGUGGGCCAAUACGUAUAGCCAGUCCAUGCUAGUUUACCAAGACACAAAGAGAUUCCAGCUCUUCCCGUCAUUAGCUAGAAAACUGCUUAACGGCCAUUAAUUAAGGAAAACACUACUUAUUUGUUUUCUCAUAUUCAAUCCCAUUUAAUCGAAAAAAAUCUCUUUCAUGAGAAGGCUUGCAAACCACAAGGAAAUAGACAGGUGAAGGUGAAGUGGAUGAUUGGUCAAAAGGAUCAUUUAAUAUUGGCACGAAAAAUAUGCGCGCACACAAAAUGGAAGCAAUUUUAGCACACAUAAAAAUACGUAGGAAGAGGAGAAGAAAUAAACUCACAAUCAAACCUCAAUAAUUAUAUUAAACCAAAUCUCAAAAGCAACAAAAGACAAGUCGGAGACCCUUUCACUCAUGUGCUCACGGCUCUCACAAUUCUCAUCAGGCUCUUACCAAUUUCUUGGAGCCGUCCCUCCUCCAGUGUUAACAUGCUAGCAGUAGUGCUAUAUAUAUAGACCAACCAAGGGAGUAAUCAACCAAAACCGACUAGGAGUUAGACUAAUACUUGACUCAUUACUAUUCGGACUUGGACUCAAUUACGGAAACUAUACCUUAUCAAAACUAGGCACUGAAAAAAGAAACUAAAAAUGUGACAGCCCCAUCUUCUCCUAGGGCGUACCCUAAGGGAUAGCGAACUGCCUGCCCAUCUCUCGUUAGAACUACUAAGUCAAUCACACACAAGCUAAAACGUUCCGAAUGAUAGUACGACGCUUAAACAUUUCGACGACCGCGAAUAACGAAGAACGAAAACGAAAAUGAAAUGGAACAGUGACUGACACGUCACAAUCCGGCUGAUAUCUGGCCGGAUACCCGGCCGGAUUGGAGACAAUAGCUCAACUCAAUUUUUUUUCAAAAUUCCCUGUGAAUCCGGCCAGAUAUCAGGCCAAGAACUGGCCAGAUAUCAGACCAAGAACUGACCAGAUACUCGGCCAGAUUCAGUAAACAGUUACCCGCCAAAUUUUUCUUCUUUCUCGUUCAACUCCCGCACUCGUCCGAAAUCCAACCAAGUGCAAGUAAACUUUAUCUAAUACUAGAGAAUGUACAUUUCCAAGAAAAUACAGCAUAUGUCAUGAGUAAACACUUUUAUAUACACACGUUGGUAAGAUUACAAAUCAAAAGGAAUCAUUGGAUUGAGAUACAUUUAGGAUUUUCAACUAUCGAGGAGCUAUACGAAAGAACAAAAGAAUAUCUAACUAGCUCAACUCGUGUCUCAAAAUCAUGAUUUUCAAAAGUAGUUCCUGUAAGGAAAACAAAGAUAACGAGGGUGAGCUUACGCCCAAUGAGGUACCAACAAUUCACACAACCAAGAUUCACAAGUACAUACAUACUCGGUUAUACAUGGCCAUCAAACACAAAAAAGUACACCAUAAUGAAACCAGAAGUAAAAGGAUAGAGUCAGCUCUCAAGAGCCAAUUCCCCAUUUGCAGUACUUGAUCUCAACUCGUUGACACUCCGUUAACGUUCGAAGAAACGAACAAGACCGUAGAUCCCACUUUACACCAAAUACCUUCUACCAAACAUUUCUCUUACCGGCCCCGAACACUUCACAGAAAUAGAGAGGGCAAUACUCGAGUAUACCACAAGGUCGAGGAGAUAACACUCCACUCGAUUAACAGUAAAUUCAUGGUUCGUUAUCUAAUCGAUCAGGCCCUUGCCGGCUCGACCCGAUUAACAACCAAUGAGGUUUGAGCUCAGAUAUCAUAGUAAAGUUGUCGGACACAGUCCCAAACGAUAUCAAACCAUGCAUAGGUAAUGAAUUCACAGUUAUACAAUAUACAGUCACACAGAUAAGAGAACGAGAGUGAUAAAGUAUACUCUCGUCUCAUGCACAGAGUUCACAGUCAUUCAGUCCAAAGAUUCAAGGUCAAAUAACCAUUUAAACAUUAAAUCAUGCAAUGGUACACUCACCAGUUUAAGUAAACAAGUUCACAAGUUUCCUUCCGAUGUAUGCCUCGGAUCACCGGCACGUCCUAUAAACAAGCAAGAAACAACAAUUGAGACUCGAACACGAGUCAUAUACCUAUUCAAUGAACUACUAAUGCAAGACCAAAUCUAGCUUGGAAGGGAAAAUAAAUAACAUUUAGUGCUAGAAACAUAAACAAGUCCAAAACCUUUCAUUUCUAUCCAAUCUCAAUCUAAACUCAAAGGAACCCAAUAUCCUCAAACUUUGGACAACAUUUCCCCUUAAAUUUCACAUUUUCCAUCCUACAAACAACCAUUAUUACAUUCAUCUAAAACAAUCACAAGUACAUAUACAAAUCAUAGGCUAUUCAACACACCUCAUUAGGGUUACAAUACCCUUCAAUCUUAGCCAAUCAAAAGUUCAACAACCAACCAUAGUAAAGCCCUAAAUAGAAACCCUAAAACUAAAAUUUUGCUCUACAAACUGAAAUUUUCCGCAAACAACCACAACUAACAUAUAAAAGCUCCAUUUUAUACCAUAUCAAGCUAUCAUUCCAUGGCCAACCAACAAUUAUCAUAUAAGGACAGAAAAAUCACCAAUAAAAUCUGAAAUUUAUCUAGCUCUACCUCAAACCAUGAAAUCUUCCACAAAAUAGCAUAUUUAGCCACUAAAAACCACUAAUUUACCAUUAUUAAGAACAAAGAGGGAAUUUAUUGACAAAGUACCUUAGAACCACAAGAGAUAAGGUAGUUUAGUGCUUUUUCUUCACUAAUCACUCCACCAAUGCCUUUAAUCUUCCUUAGCAAGUCACUUUUAUAGAUAAAUUUGAGAUUUUAGUGAUUGGAUUUCAAGAUGUGAGCAAGAAAUGGAAAACAAAAGUUGAAGGUUUCUCUCUUCUCUCCUCUUAAGAAGCUCGGCCAAGAAGGAAGAAAAUGGAGAUGAUUUUGGGUCAAAAUUAGUUUUGGAAAAGUAAGAAAGAUUUGGUCAAAGUCCACCUUCGAAUAGUAACGCGACACGUGGCACCUCUAAUGUUUAUCUCAUCCUCUUAUCUUCCAAUACUAAUUAAUCUAACUAACCUCUAAUUAUUUCCUAACACCCGGUAAAAUAAUGUCCCUUAAUACAAACUUACCCUAAUUGUCCAAAUUUAUUGCACAAAAUGCGUUAGCGAGUCCCACGUGUAAUAUACACUACUAUUGUCUCAGAAACUAACUUAUACUAGAAAAAUGAUUUAAAAACUAAAUUCACUCAUAAAAAUAUCUAGAAAAUUAAUAUAAUAAAGAAAAUACCGAAAAUGUGUGCAAAGAAAUAAAAUAAUGCCUAAAAUUAAGAAAAAUUUUCGGGUUCUCACAAAAAGGAUUAGGAAACUAAAUAAUAAAAUUGCUUGAUUUAAUUUCCUUCAUUUAAGCAUAAAUCAUGAAGAAGCGAGAGAUGAUGAUGAUGACAGAAGCCACACGGAAGUAGGAGAGAAUGAAAGGUCAAGGCUCCGGUGGAUUUGGUUUUCUCUUUGUCGAGUAGCUGAUGUAAUGAACAAAGACCUUUAAAAGGGUGCAGCACUCUUUAAAAGUUAAAAUGCCAAAAUAUUGCCUUCGGUUGCUUUUCUAUAAGCUUUUGAGGAACAGAUUCCUCAAACAUUUUCAUGUCUACAGAUUUUACACAAUUACGUCCACGCACUUCUUUAAAGAAACGCAUACUAUUCUUUUCCAAGCUUUGACAUUAUUGUCUGACUUGUCUCGAUACCUAUCUAUGAAAUGAAACAUCUGAUGUAAAAUGUCCAAACAUCAUGUGCCCUCAAAAGAUUUCUCGUUAUUAUUAUAUUUUAUUGAAAAAAUGGGAGAGAAUGAAAAUAACGACGGAGUUUAUGAACAUGAACCUGGAGAUAAUUGCAUUUACAUAUGCAAGACCAAACUGCAUUGACGAUUUCCUAAAAGAACACAAAAAAAAAAAAUCCUUCUAUUCAAGGGCUGAAGGAUGAAACAUUUUUCGUCCUCUAUCAUGAAAACAAAGUUUAAGCCGUACCAAAAGAAGGAGAGUGCGUGUGCGUGUGCGUGUGCGUGUGGGCGUGAGUUCAGUUUAAGAAAGAAGAAAAUGACAAGGGUGCAAAAAGGGGCGGACUUUUUGAAGUUUGUCUUACAAACUUAGAAACAAAUUUGACCAAAAAUGGAAAGCAGAACCAAACGUGAAGAGAAUGAAGAAGAGCGUGCGGCAAAUUGACCCAACUUCAUCACUUAAUUAGUUCUAGGAGUUUAGUAUUUCCCUUUUUCUGUAUUUGUUUUCCUUUCCUUUUCCGUAUUUGUGAAGCUUUUUUUUUUUUUUUUGAAAAGAAAAAGAAUAGAUUAAGCUGUAAAAUUAACUAGUUGUCUGACUUAAAGGUGCAUAACUAAUUCCAAUGGGCUUGAAUGAAAAAACCAAAGUUUUGAUCUAGUGUUUAGUGUAUUGGAUUGGAGACUAGCUGUUCUAUUUGUUUCUAUGGAAGAAGAACUGAAGGAGCUCCCGGAUUAUACCCCAACAAAAAUGCUGCAAUUGCCUACGUCGUAAGUCCCCGGCAACUGCCGUUCUUAUUGUUAUGCUUCUGUUCACAUAAAGGCAAUGCACCAAAAAUAAACAAAACAGAGAGACAUCAAUUAAUUCCAUGGUGAAGGAGAAGCGGUGCUCCUGGGCGCGCGGGGUUUUGGUAAAACCAUAAUGCAGGUCAGGUGUGUAAAUUCAAGCUCUGAAAGAAGUAUUUAGUAAAGCAAGAGUAAUUCAUGGCUAAUGAAUUGUGGAAUCAGUUGUUCGCCUGUUUAUGGCUUGCUUGCUGUGAUGAUGAUCAUUACUCAAUGACUUUGAUGGUUCUGCUGCUGGACAGGGGUCUCCAAGGUUUAUAACACACUCGGCAUGAACAGGUUGAGCUGCGAGCGUCGUUGCUGCGCACGACAUAUUAACAAUCAAAUUACGGGCAAAUUUCAUUAUUUGGAUAGUUAAAGAAAGAAUAUGUCAAGAAAUUAGAUUCGGAUCUUCUCUACUUUCAGAAACUACAAUUCCGUUACAUACAGAGAGUCGUGAUGCUGAAUAUUAAAUAAAAGGGACUCAAAACUUCUGGAGUGGACUAAACUAAAACAUGUCAAAAAGAAGGAAGAACAAGCAAAGUGGUAUACCUAUUUUAAAGAAAAGUUCCUUGAUGUUGGUCUCAACCUUGGCAGAAGUCUCCAUGAAAAUCAGACCAUUUUGAUCAGCAAAAAGCUUUGCAUCCUGCAAAAGCAUUAAUAACGAACACCUGAAGAAUUGCCCUUCUGAGAUGUUGCAUAUGGUCUGUGAUUUUCACAUUUUCCAACAAUUUCAACAGAGCGAGCUGAGUUUGUUGACAUAAUUCAAUGAAGGUUUUUGUCGCUGUUUUGAUCUCAGAAAGCACAGCAAGAAACAUCCAGGUAAUACAUGCAAUUGAGUUUUAAAUAUCUUCUUGACUUUAGGAAUCUUAGUAAUUACUUCUACCUGAAUGAUUUAAACUUAAAACGAAGAAUUGUAUCAUUCACAAAGAAAGAAAUCCUCCAAGCAACAUUUUGUAUAAGCCAACAUCAGCUUUAGUAUCUAUCUUCCGUACGCAUUCAGGCCUUCUUACCAUGUGAUUAUCAAAUUGAAGAUUACAGAGUUCAUACAAACAUGCAACUACAAUAUUUUACUUACCUCUGUAGUAACUUGUCUCUUAUCCUCCAAAUCCGCUUUAUUACCAGCGAGUGCCAUGACAGGGAGAGCAAAAUCCCAUCUGGAUGCUAUUGAAAUUUACAAGCAUAGAAUGUAGUAGCAUUAAAAUGGGUUAAAAAGCAAAAGGAGUCAAACAGAUGAAAUUUGAAUCGAAGGAUAUUUGCUACAGUUACACCCGCACGCUUCAUGUACUCUACCCACGUCUUGGCCCCUUCGUAUGAAACCUGAUAAACCAAUUCAAGGAAAGUUUUCUUAACUACUAGCUACUCACUAUACAUACAUACAUACACACAUACAUAUACAUAUAUAUAUAUGUAUAUCAUAGACAAUGAUAUAUAUAUAUAUGUGUGUGUAUAGCCAAAUGCAAACCUACCUUGCUAGUUAUAUCAUAGACAAUGAUACAUCCAGCAGCCCCUCUACAACAGGAGUCGGGCAAGGCCCCAUAACGCUCUUGGGCAUUAGUGUCAAAUAUUCUCACUUUGACUGCUGAAUAGUUGCCCUGACCGCCCACCUCCAGGGUUCGCAGGAUGGAGUCAUCUCCCAGCAUAACCCUCUGAUAUUACAAUGAACAAGUACAACAUGAUCAACCAAUUUCAAAUGGUUUUUUAUUUUUUUAAAUACGGGAAAAAACUACUAACUGCCUAAAAUUGCUCACAUCAACAUCAGGGAAUUCUUCGUCCACAAAUUGGUUCACAAAACGUGAUAUAAUGCUGGAUUUACCAACUCCAAAAUCCCCUAAAGUAACUUGCCGGAUCCAAAAAAGAAAUUAAAAAUUAACAUGACCAAAAUAAAAUGAUAUCAUGGAUAUUUUUUCAUUAAUAGACUUGCGAAUUUUAACUCGGUAUUCUUGGCACCAAUAGUGUCCAUGGAGAGCUAUACUGGUCGAGAGCUUGAUUUUGAAAAGAAAAACAGAAUUAAUAGAGUUAUAGCUUGAAAAAUAAUAUAAACUAGAACAAGGUGAUAACAGCAUUCGUACAGAAUUAAUGUGGGUAUACUAUUCUUCUUUGACAUUCUAACAGCAAGAUUUAAACCUAAAAAAAAAAAAAAAUCAGCAGAGUCCAUUUUCUAAGAAUAGGCAAAUCAGAAAAUUUUAAUGAGAUAAACUUGUGCAGUUCGAAAACAUCAGAAACCAUCAAAUUAUUCACGUCCAGCAGUCAUCUCUAUAAGUGUGAAGCUCCGAUGCGUUUCCAUACCAUGAACAGAGCAACUUCAAAGAAAUUGGGCACAAAGCAAAUCACAAUUCCAGGCAUCCAUAUGUUUGCUUGCAAAUGCAAACCAAAGGAGAAAAAAAAAAAUCAGAGGAAGUGGAGCUUAAUAAGAGCAAACUUCUUGUCUCUGAAAUCAAAUAGAAUCAUUUUACUGGUGUGCUUCAUAUUUCAACCGGAAGGGGAAAAAAACCUAAAUGGCUGGAGAACAAGAGGUUUCCAGAAUUCCAAGCAUCAUUAACAUAAAAAUCGUUCCGAAAAAAAAAAGAUGAAAAGAUGAAUGUAGGAUAUCAUUAGUAUCAAAGUUUGAGCGAAGAGAGAGGAGGAUAUCAUUUAGGAUAAAAAAAAUGAUAUCAUUUAGGAUAUCAUUUAGUACCUGAAAUUUUUCAGGCAAUAGUAAGAAGAAACGAGAUAGCAGAGAACUGAGAAGGCCUGAGGGAGUUGGGACUGGGAAGUGAGAGGUAAAACCGUAGAAAAUGGGUGAGGCCGAGGGAGUAUGUGACUGUGUGUUGGGUUGUUGAAAUAUUGUGUGUGUGUGUGUGUGCGUGUCAGAAAACAGAUAUGCUUGAAGGCCAAGCUAACUGAGGCAAAUCUGUUAGUCCCAUUAAGAUGUUUAUAAAACACAUUUUUUGGAAGGAAAGAAUUCUUCUUUUUUUUUCCCUUAAGAUGUUUAUAAAUAGAGUCUAUAAAUAAUUAAAAAAAAUAAGAGUCUACAAAUAUAAGUUUACAGUCAUUUCUCCAGCAAAAAGCCACCUAUUAGGAGAAAAUGGGGGGUGUGUUCGAUUGUCAACUCUUAUAUUUAAGCGUCACCAUUCUAUAAUAAUCGUCAAAUGAUACGUCAGGAUUUAUUUGAUUGGCUAAAAGACACAAAUAUAUAAGUAAAUUAUUAGUAUAUAUAAGGCUGUGAGGAAACAAACUACAAGAAAUCAAAUUUAUGAAAAAGUAAAUUAUAUGCCAGAAUGAAGGAAUAGAAAAGAAUUCAUUACGGCCAAUUAUGGGACCCAAAAAAAAAAAAUUUAAAUAGAACGGAUUAUUUCUGGUUGAGUAAAACAGCUGUUUGGAUUCAUCAGUUUUUCAAAAACUAAAUUUUCAAAUACUAUAAAAAAUUUUAAAAAAUACUCUAAAAAGUAGUCUAAAUUUUUUUAAUAUUUAAAAAAUAUCCCAAAAUAUAUUAUAAAAAGUCUGCUACUUUUAAAUAUCCCAAAAUAUAUUCUAAAAAUAUCUCAAAAUAUACUCUAAAAACUCUGUUACAGUAAAAUUUUUCAAAAACACACCAAAAACAGCUAAUCCAAACGGCGUAUUUACAUGGUGACCCAUACUAGGGCUGGAGCUGAACCAAGUAGCUCGGCUCGAGCUCGCGAGCUACUUGGUCAGCAGCUCGAGCUCAAGCUCGGUUGACCAAGCUCGAGUAGGAGCUCAAGCUGCUCGUUAGAGCUAUCGAGUCGAGCUCGAUCUUGGAAAUAUGAUACUCGAGAGUUCGACGAGUUCUAUCGAGCUUUUUAUAAUAUAUAUUUUAAUUUUUAUUAUUGUGAAAUGUCAAUAAUAUCCUUUAUUUAAAAUUAUAUAUAAAAUAUUAAUUUUUAUUACUUGAGCUUGAUUAGACUUGAUUGAGCUCGAAUAAGCUUGAUUGAGCUCGAUUGAGCUUGAUUUGAAUUAAUUACAUUUAAUUAAACUCGAGCUCGAGUUCCAUAAAUUGAUGUCGAGCUCGAGCUCGAGCUCGAAUUUUAAAAGCUUGACGAGCUCGAGCUCGAGCUUAGUUAUUUUGCCUCGAGUCGAGCUCGAGUAGUGCUACUCGAGCUCGACUCAACUCGAUAGCACCCCUAACCCAUACACACAAAAAGAAAAAAAAAAGAACAUUAAAUAGUAACAAUUGGUAAUAUAUUUUAGAUAACAUAGGGCUUGUUAUUAAUUGAUUAUUUUAACUAAUUAUAGAUUCUGAUUUUGAAUAAUUAGUUUUUGUGAUAUUCUCGAUUGCUUCUGUAUUAUAAUUAUAGAUUAUUUAAUCACUAAAAAAGCUAAAUUUUAUAAUCACCCAAAGAGCAGCUUUUGCUAAUUCUAAUUAUUGUCUAUAAUCAGUUUCUAUAAUUAGAUCUUGUAAAAUCUAAAGUAAUUGAGAACAAGGCCAUAGACUUCGGAUGGAUGCUCUUUCUCAAAGAAAAUAAAAGAAACAAUAUGCCUUAGGCAGAAUUGCAUAAAAAGAAACCCAGACCUUUUGUUUCCAUCUUUUUUUUAUUUUUAUUUUUGGCUGGAUAAACUGGCAAUACUUGAAUGAUUAGUACUCUUAAGACUUUAUUUUGUUCAUCAAGAGUGAUACAAAACCCAAAAAAUGUUGAAUUGUCAAGCAUUGCGGCUUGACUUGUGUGGCAAACAUUUCCAUCCCACAUCGAUGGCAGCCAAGGAAAGCCUUCCGUUGUUUUCCUAUAAAUAGGGAAGCGUAUGAAGGUUUAAGGUGCACCACUUAAGAGAGUUAUAUGGGCUAUUAGCUUCUUGAGUCAUUUAGCCCAUUUAGUCAAAUAUUUUAGGCUCUCUUAUUUUGAGUUUAGGAAUAUUUUCUAAACUCUUUUGUAAGUGCCUAUUGGCCUAGGAACCACUUUCCUACGGUCUUUUGUAUUUCUUCUUCAUAGUAGAAAUAUUGCUCCUCCCUCGCCCGUGGACGUAGGUCAAUUUGACCGAACCACGUAAAUCUUCUGUGUCUUUUAUUUGCUUUGUUAUCCGUCUUUAUAUGGUCGGUUUUACCGCCUAAUUAUUAUAUGGCUGGUAUCUACCGCCUAUCUAUUAUAUGGUCGGUUAUACCGCCUACUUUGUGCUAACUUGAGUUUGUCUAUUCCUGGCCCGGUCCUAACAAACUGGUAUCAGAGCUGGUUGUUAUAUUUUGCAAGACAGGUUCAUCUGGUGGGGUCCGUCCAUCCUGUGGGGCCCACUCAUCCUGUGGGGUCCGUUUAUCUGUGGGGCCCACUCAUCCUUGUGGGGUCCUUUCAUCCCGUGGGGCCCGCCUAUCUCGUGGGGCCCGCUCACCCUGUGGGGCCCGCUCACGAGACUUGCAUAUUUGUUUGGCCAGUUUUUGAGACAAACUUCAAGUUACAGAAUUUGUGGCAACAAUGACGAUAACAAAGACGGUUGUCGAGAAAUUCGACAGGAAUGUCAACUUCGGAAUGUGGCAGCUCAAGAUGGAGGCCAUUCUUGUUCAAGACGGAGUUGAUCUAGCGAUUCACGGAAUCGAGAACAAACCAGAAGAUGUCAAGGAUGCGGAUUUCGCCGAUAUGGAUAAGAAGGCCAGAUCCAGCAUAAUCUUAAACCUCUCCGAUGAGGUAUUGCGUGAGGUAGCAACGGAGACUUCGGCCAAGGCUAUGUGGGAUAAAUUGAAAGCCUUGUAUAUGAAGAAGACAGUCGAAAAUCGGCUAUAUUUGAAGCAGAGUUUGUACAUGCUUCGGAUGUCUGAAGGUACAUCUAUACUCUCCCAUCUUGAUAAAUUUGAUUCCAUUAUUAUGGAUUUGGGGAAUAUAGAUUCGAAAAUUGAUGAUGAAGAUCAAGCCCUAUUACUUUUGUGUUCCCUUCCCCAGUCUUUUAAGCAUUUUCGCGAUACUAUGAUUUAUGGAAAGGAGACAAUUUCGUAUCGGGAAAUUAAAUCUGCAUUAAAAUCUAAAGAGCAGAUAGAUAGGGACAUUACUGGGGAAACUAGUGGGAGUCAAGCCGAUGGCUUGUUUGUUCGGGGUAGAUCUGAAAAGAGAAACACAGAAAAUAGAACUAGAUCCAAAUCCAGACAUAAAAAUGUGGUGUGCAAUUAUUGUAAAAAGAAGGGCCAUGUUAUCUCUGAUUGCUUUAAAUUGAAAAAUAAAGAAAAGCAAAAAGGGAAAUUUGUUGAGAAAAAUACUGAAUCCGCUGAGGCUAGUAUAGCAGCUGAUGAGAAUGAUGGAACUAUUUUCUGUGCAACGGAAAAUAAUUUUAGGUCUAACAAUGAGUGGAUUUUAGAUUCGGGUUGUUCAUAUCAUAUGUGUCCCAAUAGGGACUGGUUUUCAACAUAUGAAUCAACUGAAGGUGGAGUUGUCUUAAUGGGCAACAACGCUGUUUGUAAAGUUGUUGGCAAAGGCACAAUCCGGAUUAAAAUGUACGAUGGUAUUGUGAGGACGCUCACAGAUGUUAGACAUGUUCCAGAUUUGAAGAAAAAUCUCAUCUCUUUGGGCACUCUUGAGUCUAUCGGGUGCAGGUAUUCAGGUGGAGACGGAGUUCUCAAAAUCACUCGAGGAGCUCUUGUUGUUAUGAAGGCACACAGAUCUGGUACUUUGUAUAUUUUGCAGGGAUCUACUGUUACAGGUGCUGCUGCUGUUUCUACAUCAACUUUGUCUGAUUCUGAUUUUACCAAAUUAUGGCACAUGAGAUUGGGGCACAUGAGCGAGAAGGGCUUAUCUAUUUUAUGCAAACGAGGUCUUCUUGGUAGUCAAAGUAUUGGAAAGAUGGGACUCUGUGAACAUUGCAUUUUUGGAAAGCAGAAGAAAGUUAGCUUCCAGUUGUCGGCAGUUCACAGGACAAAAGGAACUUUGGACUACAUUCAUUCAGACCUCUGGGGGCCUUCUCGUGCUUCUUCUAAAGGAGGUGCCAAGUACAUGUUGACUUUCAUUGAUGAUUAUUCAAGGAAAGUUUGGGUAUAUUUUCUUAAGCAUAAAAAUGAUGUUUUCCUAACUUUCAAGCAAUGGAAAGUUUUGAUUGAGAAGCAAACAGGAAAACACAUUAAGCGGUUGAGAACAGAUAAUGGCAUGGAAUUUUGUGGAGGUGAAUUUAAUGAAUUCUGCAAGAAUGAAGGAAUUGUUCGGCAUCACACCGUCAGGAUGACGCCUCAACAAAAUGGUGUGGCUGAACGUAUGAACAGAACGCUUUUGGAGAGAGCAAGAUGUAUGAUCUCCAAUGCAGGGUUGACAAACGACUUUUGGGCAGAGGCGAUCAAUAUGGCCUGUUAUAUUGUCAACCGUUCUCCUUCUGCAUCUCUUGAUUUCAAAACUCCUGAGGAAGUUUGGUCAGGUACUCCUGCUGAUUACUCCAAUUUAAAAGUUUUUGGCUGUCCAGCAUAUAUGCACGUGAAUGAUGGAAAAUUGGAGCUUAGGGCUAAAAAGUGCAUUUUUCUUGGGUAUGCUUCUGGGGUGAAAGGAUACAGAUUAUGGUGUCCUGAUCCCAAAUCUCCAAAAUUUGUGAUCAGUAGAGAUGUUACUUUUGAUGAAUUGUCUAUGUUAUCUUCCAAGAAGGAGUCUUCCAGUCCUUGUACUACUGAUAGUACACAGAAGCAGGUGGAGCUUGAUAUUGGCAGUUCUGGUCCUUCUCAGACCAAAUCUUCUAUUCAACAAAUGCCAGUAGAUGCACCUGAGUCUACUGUGGAAGAUAGUUCAGAAGAAGAGGAAUAUUCCAUAGCCAGAGAUAGACAAAGGAGAGACAUUCGACCACCACAAAGAUAUGCAAAUUUAGUUGCAUAUGCUUUGUCUAUUGCAGAAGAAACUGAUGCAGUUGGUGAGCCUUCCACCUAUUCAGAAGCAGUUUCUUGUGAUGAUUCUGCAAAGUGGUUGAUUGCGAUGAAUGAAGAAAUUGAAUCUCUUCAUCGUAAUGAAACUUGGGUUCUUGUAAAGCCGCCGUCAGCUAAGAAAAUUGUCGGUUGCAAGUGGGUCUUCAAGAAGAAGGAAGGUAUUCCAGGGGUUGAAGAUGCAAGGUAUAAAGCACGAUUAGUUGCAAAGGGCUAUAGUCAGGUACAAGGUGUUGAUUUUAAUGAUGUGUUUUCACCUGUUGUUAAACAUAGCUCUAUUCGUGUUUUACUUGCUUUAGUUGCCAUGUAUGAUUUGGAGUUAGAGCAGCUUGAUGUUAAGACAGCUUUCUUACAUGGCGAACUUGAAGAACAAAUUUAUAUGAAACAACCCCAGGGUUUUGAAAUUGAAGGUAAGGAAGACCAUAUUUGCUUAUUGAAGAAAUCCUUAUAUGGAUUGAAGCAGUCUCCAAGACAAUGGUAUAAAAGGUUUGAUUCCUUUAUGUUGGGUCAUGGUUAUUUGAGGAGCAUGUAUGAUAGUUGUGUUUACUUCCGGAAGUUAAAUGAUGGUUCUUUCAUUUAUUUGCUGCUUUAUGUUGAUGAUAUGCUCAUUGCUGCCAAGAAUUUGUCAGAAAUUCACACUUUGAAACUGCAGUUAAAUAGUGAAUUUGAAAUGAAAGAUUUGGGAGCAGCUAAGAAAAUUCUUGGCAUGGAUAUCAAGCGAGAUCGAGGAGUAGGGAAGUUGUUCUUGACCCAGAAAAAUUACCUUGAGAAAGUUUUGGAGCGUUUUGGCAUGAAAGAUGCUAAACCAGUAUCUACUCCUCUUGCUAGCCAUUUUCGGCUAUCUGCUGCUCAAUCACCAAAAUCAGAUGAAGAGGAAGAUUAUAUGGCACAGGUUCCUUAUUCCAGUGCAGUCGGCAGUAUUAUGUAUGCAAUGGUUUGUACUCGUCCAGAUAUUGCACAAGCAGUCAGUGUUGUUAGCAGAUAUAUGUCUUGUCCUGGUAAAGCACAUUGGCAAGCUGUGAAGUGGAUUCUCAGAUACUUGCGAGGUACUUCAAAUGCAUGUUUGGAGUUUGGAAGAAAUAAUAACACUUUGGUUGGUUUUGUAGACUCAGACUACGCUGGGGAUCUUGACAGGAGAAGAUCACUUUCAGGCUAUGUAUUUUGCAUUGGCGGUUGUGCUGUUAGUUGGAAAGCUACUCUACAACCUGUCGUAGCUUUGUCUACUACUGAAGCAGAAUAUAUGGCUGUGACCGAGGCAAUCAAAGAAACCUUGUGGUUGAAGAGUUUAUUUAGCGAGCUAAGUCUAUAUCAAGGUGUUAUUGAUAUUCACUGUGAUAGUCAAAGUGCCAUACACUUGACUAAAGAUCAGAUGUAUCAUGAGAGGACGAAACACAUUGAUGUGAAGUAUCACUUCAUUCGGGAUAUCAUUGCUGAGGGAAAAGUCCUUAUUCAGAAAAUCAAUACCAAGGACAAUCCAGCUGACAUGUUUACGAAACCUCUUCCAGUUUACAAGUUCAAGCAGUGCUUGAAUUUGGUUGGUGUUCAUUGUUGGUGAUUUAAGCCCAUUGGGGCUUAUGUGGAAAAGGUGGAGCAGUUUUACUAUUGUCGAUGGUGGGAUUCCAAAUUUUGCCAAGGUGGAGAUUUGUUGAAUUGUCAAGCAUUGCGGCUUGACUUGUGUGGCAAACAUUUCCAUCCCACAUCGAUGGCAGCCAAGGAAAGCCUUCCGUUGUUUUCCUAUAAAUAGGGAAGCGUAUGAAGGUUUAAGGUGCACCACUUAAGAGAGUUAUAUGGGCUAUUAGCUUCUUGAGUCAUUUAGCCCAUUUAGUCAAAUAUUUUAGGCUCUCUUAUUUUGAGUUUAGGAAUAUUUUCUAAACUCUUUUGUAAGUGCCUAUUGGCCUAGGAACCACUUUCCUACGGUCUUUUGUAUUUCUUCUUCAUAGUAGAAAUAUUGCUCCUCCCUCGCCCGUGGACGUAGGUCAAUUUGACCGAACCACGUAAAUCUUUUGUGUCUUUUAUUUGCUUUGUUAUCCGUCUUUAUAUGGUCGGUUUUACCGCCUAAUUAUUAUAUGGCUGGUAUCUACCGCCUAUCUAUUAUAUGGUCGGUUAUACCGCCUACUUUGUGCUAACUUGAGUUUGUCUAUUCCUGGCCCGGUCCUAACAAAAAAUUUUCUUCAUCUUUCUCAGAUGCGAAACCUUGUUUGAAGUUUGCCGUGAAAUUGCGCGUCCCAUGCGGGAGUAAGUUUAUAUGUUCUUCUUCUUUGUAGGCACGUUAUCAUCCUAUUCAAAUUAAUUGCAAUGAAAAAUUCCACACGAGAUUGCCCAGAGGAAAGAAAAGUAAAGAAAAUCGGAGAUUAGAAAUUGCACUCGUCGAAUGGAUUAGAAGGGGUAAGGUUCCUUUACAAAACAUCCGAGCUAAAAUUGAUUAUUGUUCCUAUACAGUUCGAACUAUUUAUGAUGUAUUAGGCAUAAAAAUUUAAAUAUUUAUAGACGAGGAAUAAUAAAUAAACUUUGACUUUUCUUUUCCUUUUAUCUAGUUUAGAAAGCUAAAUUUAAACCUCUUCAUUCCUUUUCUCAAAACUAGUCAAAUAAAAAUUCGAUUGAUUAUUUGAUAAAAUUGCUAUGCUUAGUGUGUGACUCGUUGAUUUUUUAGGGUUAGAAUUCAAAAAAUCGGCCUCUAAUAACCAACCUAGCACUUCGCAAAAUCUAUUUUUAAUUAAGAAGUCUCUAUCAGAAAGCAGAUUGAAUUUUUCAAAUUAGGCAAAAAAGACGAAUUUAUUAUUUUUAUCUUACGCAUAUAAGUCAAAUAAAAUAUAAAAAAAUAAAGAUUUUUUUUUAUUUUUCUCUAUUUCCAAUGAUGCAAUACAUAUUGAUAAUCUCCUAUUAUUCCAGUGUUUUGAAAAUCGGAUCAUGCCUCCAAUCCAAUUCAAUGAAUAAUCCAAAAAAUCAAUUGAAUUCGUCAAAUUUGGCCAAAAAACGGUUGAACCAAUAAAAAUUUUGAGGUUCAACCAAUUUUUAUUAUCUAAAAUAAAUAUUUUAAUUUUAUUCAAAAUUUUUAAUGCUAAAAUAAAUAAAAAAUUAUUAUACAUUUGAAUCAAAAUUGAACCAGGCAAACUGAAAAUUUUUUUGGUUCACUCUUAGGCCCGAAUUUAAAGACAUUGAUUAUUCCUAGCCUCACAUACUUGCUCAAAAAGGCUAUAGAAGUAGCAAAUUUGGACGAGCGGACUGAUACUCCACCCUUUUUUCCCCUUUUUUUUUCCUUUUUUGUAAAGGAUGUAUUGCUGGCUGAUCUAAUCUCAGUCCGGACUGAUUAACACAUUUGAUUCCGUUUGUUUACGGACCCCAUUUAAAAAAAAAAAAGCUUGUGAUGAAUAAAAGUUGAUACAGAAGGAUUUCUCCCCAAGUAUACCUGCCACUCAUAUUCAUACUAUCACAAGAUUUCUUCGCAGUUUCAACGAUGUGUCUCAAUUGGUUUCUAGCAAAAUAUGCAUGAAGCACAAAAUUUAUCAAAACCGCCCCUUAACUUAGUAGCAGCAUACUAGCAUCUAUAUCCUAUAUGACAGAAACAGAGAAUUAUUCAAAAUCCCAGCACUUUCAGCUUAAAGAUGUCAGGAGUUUUAACCCUCAGACAAGCAUGCACCAUUCUCUACGACCUCAUUCCACCAUGGCAUUUUCUUCGGGAAGAAUUCAUCAUCUGGAUACAUCUUCUGAAACAGCUGCCACAAAUAGCAGAAGGGCCUUCCCUCAGUAUACAUAUGUUACUAUGCUACAGAUCCAAAUCAAAUCUCCAAGUUCCAGGACAGAAGAAUAAAAAAAAGAUUAAACAGAUCUCGUUCUGAAACUAAUUGCAGCAUCAUUUACCUUUAAUGCUGCAUCUACAACAUGGCUAUAUUGCAGAUUCCCAUCAGGCAUAGGGGUUGAACUAACACAAUCAAAUCCACCCUACAAGUACCAAGAUUUCGGAGCCAUUAGCCAAAAAAAAAAACGAAUGCACAUUUCAAACCAAUACUAGCUUAUCCGAAGGGUAAAAAUGGGAGGAUGAAAUGCAGAAAAUACAUGCAAACUAAUUGUAAACAUGGUGAGAAUCUAGUUUAUAAGAAAAGGGGUAAGAUAGCAAAAGAAAAACAGAAAGCACAAAAACAAACCAUAAUUAGCUCUUGUAUGUACAGAGUGCUCCAAAGUAAAGUCGGUUUCACUUUCACAACUGUAUUCUCCCUCAGAGGAUCCCUAGAAUUAUCCUCCGAGUUACCAGAAACAGAAGUUGAAAACAAAGCUUCUUUUGCUGCAUUUAUUGAUCUCUUCCCUUGAACAACAUCACCACAUAUAGUUGAUAGAUAGACGACGAACCUGCACAAGAAGGGAAAACAUCAGAGGAUGGCACGUUCAUCUCCACAUAAGGAAUUUCAAGUUCAAAAAGCAUGAUUACUGUGAUUUAUAAAUUGCACUAAAAUAUUGUUCAGAAUGGCUCACAUCUUUAGCAACUAAGAAAGAGUUAAUUGAAAAGUAUUUCAUCGUCUCUUAUCUUUGAAUCACAAAAAUAAGCAUGUCUGGCACAAAUUCUUUCCUAGCACAUAGAAUCUACCAAAAUGUACUGGCAUUCCACGUUAUCUUUUGACAGGUAACUUACAUGCCAGAGGGACAAGCCCGCACAUUACUGCUCAAUUGGAAGAUGCGGACUGAUGUCAUCUGGUCAGGGCAUAAAGCUAGAGAGUGAAAGUCAGCUAAUAAAGUAGUCUAAAUCAAAUACAAGAAAAGAAUUAUGUUGUAUUCGGAACUUACAUUUAGGGGUAUAGAACACCAGACAAUUUGCUACAUCCGGUUUAAAGGAAUUAUCUGUGAUGCAAAUUCCCCUGACCACCUUCUCUCUGGCAUCUUGUUGGACAAAAUCAUAAUAAACAUCUUGUGGAGAAACUGAGGGAGUAGUCAACCCUGGUGGGAUCACAAAUGUGGGGGCAAGGAUAAGAUGAUGGCUGAAUAAUUCUUGUCCCGUAACCAGCUUAACGCCCUUAUAAUUCCCAACAUCCUGCAAAAUGUGCAAAGUGAUACAUACAAACUCAUAGAUUUCUCAUCAGCAGCUAUGCUGGGUGUAGAAGAGGAAUGGCAUAAAAAAGAAAGCAAAAAAAAUUCAACCAAACCUUGUCAACAAGCAGACCAACCACAGGCAUUUGAGUAAUCUGCAUGAAGAAAUUAGUAAAAUUAAGGAAUGCUUAUGACUCAACAAAAAGAACAAGAGAAUCAGUGGCAUGACUCAUACAUCAACCCAUCACUCAUCAGCAGUCAGGUCAAGGAAAAAGAGAGUAGGAAUAAAGCAGCAGUGACACCCACAGCUUAUUUUAGAGAGAGAUGUUGCUCCUUUUAAUGUUUCUUCCACCCCUUUUCUACCUUGACAAUGGCAGCUAAUUAAAACCCAAGUCCAAAAGCUUAAUGUAACUAGUAAUUGUCAAUGCCCCAUGAUGAAUAAAAUGAGCAGCCCAGAAUAAAUAAACGUUUGAGUUGUCCAAAUGUUAGACCAUAUGCUUUAUGAUUAAAUACUCACCGAAAUGCCACCCAUGAUAGCAGCACGACGGCAAAAGAAAUGUGCCAGUUCUCCUUGUCCAUAAAUAGGAUAUAGCAUAGCACCAGUUGCACCACGGAACCUAUAAAAGUUGAUAGAGUAAUGCCCUUGAGCAUGAAAUUUCAAAACUGGAAAAAGAACUGAAUGUAUUCAUAUCUUUACUUCUUUACAAGAAAAAUGAACAAAGAACUACAACGAAGUACAACGAAGUACAAGGAGAAACACCUUUGCUUCAACCCAGUAAUCUAUAAACACAACAAUGGUGGCAUUAUAGCCAAAUUGACUAUGAUGCAGGUUAUAAAAUCAAUGACACAAAUCAUACAACUAAUGAAUCCCAGAUGGGCUCUAAUAAGACAAGCAAGAGUUUUAAGAGAUCAUAAAAAAAAUAUUAAACCUGGGGAGUUGUGAUCAUUUUGGACUGGACAACAUACAGAGUAGCACAGGACAUAAUUAAAAUAAUCCUGAGCGUAAGAACAUUUACUCCCCUUAACUGCAAAAUGUUGUCUGCGUGUUUUACUCGCUGUUGAGAAUCAAAUUAAUGCUGAUAAUUCCCAAUCUCUCUACCUCACACAAACUUAAGAAUCGAUGAAUCUGUACAUAACACCAUUGGAUGUGGUUCUCAAAUGAAACAAACAUGAUAGAAGACGAAAACCUGCCGACGGAUUUAUGAUAAAGCAUUAAACGAUCAAUCCCCACUUUUGUCUUGACAAUGUCCUUUUUGCAAGCUUCCACAUUGUCCUGUUCAUAAUCUGCCAUCGUAAUCGCAUAUAAAAUGAUCCUAGACAGACAGGCAAAAAAUAUAUCAAAAGUCAAAAAUAUGCUGAAAUGCAACUAAACUCCAAGUAAAUGCAUCCUUAAGAAAAGAGAAGUUACAAGUAUUACACUAGUUGAUCAAAACAUGUCAGAAUUUGAGAAUUUACUUUCACUUCGGGUAUAGUAAACAGAGUCAUAAUUCAGGCAGUAUUCACUCAUAGUAUUAGGCUAAAAUUUAAGUCAAUAAGAAGCCAAUCGGAAAGAAGAGAAGGUAAAACCGUCCCAUUCUAUAUCAAACCACAAAAGAGAAGUUAAAAAAUAAACCCAACACAGUAAAAAUUCAUAUAAGUUCAGAAACAGAGAAAUCAUGGGUAAAUGGAAGAAAUAAUGGUUAUCUACUUACGAUGUUAGCUUGGGAGACAAGCGAAUUUUGCAAGUCAAAAACUCCACAAAUGGAGUCUCUAAAUCCUCUGGGGUGAUUUUCAUGCUACUAUUAUUUUCGUCGUCCUCCUCGUUACUAGUCGUGGUACUAGAUUUAGAAUUGGAAUGAUAAUGGGCCUGAAGCAGCUUGAAGAACCUCAUUAACUGAUUCUUCUCCUUCAAGCUCAAGCUUCUAUCUCUGAAUAUGGCGUUACGUGAACCCGGCACACUAUUCCACAAAAGCCCCCCACCUUUGCCUUUUUGGCAUUCAUCAUAAAUACAAUAGCUGGUGUCCACGCUCAUGAAACUCAUGCAGUUCUGAACAUCCACAUCCACAAUCAAAUCCACCAUGGGAUCCGCGCAGAAUAGAACCCUAGGCCCCGCUAAAUCAAGGUUAAAUUCUUUUUGCAGUGAAUCAUCCAAAACUUUUUCAGGGGAGUACACGUGGACCUCCACGGAAGAGUAGAGAGGGCGAGUGCUGAGGGGCAGAAUGUUGAAUGAGGAGUCGGUUGUUUGGUCGGUUGGUGAAUCGACCGUACGAAAAUCAGUAUAAUCAUGAUCAGAAGUGGUAGCAGAAUGGAGAUGGAGGAAAGAGAUGAGGUCUUUGGGUGAAAGGGAAGCAAAGGGGCUAUGGUAGUAAGGGUCAGGAUUGAUUUGAAGUACGGUCUUUCCGGCUGAAGCUGCAGCGGCGGCGAUGAUGGACUCCGGAAGUCCGGUGCCCACCACAAUUAGAUCAAAACUGGUGGGUUCGAUUCGGGGCGGCCCUUCAUCCUCCUCAGCCGCCAUGUAUGUCAUCAACUCACCCGCUCUUUCGCCUACGGGGCAAUGUUUUAAAACUCGGACCGUCAAUUGAACCGGUGAAGUGAAAGGGUCGAUGUUCAAUCGGUCGGACCGAUUCAAUCCCGGUUCAAUAAAUAAAUAUAUAUAUAUACACACACAUAUACACACACACCUAUGCACAUAAUUAAUACAUAGCUAAUUAUGAAUAUUCAACAAAUAAAUUAAUACAUAGCCAAGGAGGAUGGGAAAUUUUGUAUCAAAUUUCUCAAAUAACAAGAAGACAUCCAAUGGCACCUUAACAAAAGAUAAUCCUAGUUUUGUAAUAAUUGCCAAAACUAAAAUAUACACCUAGUGAUGCACGGCUAUGAAACAUUAGUGCUACUAGUGAUUCGGGACACAUUAUAGUGGAUCAAUUGUAAAUUUAAAAUGAUUUGAUGCAUUGCAAUAAUUUUAGUAGAAUCAAUGAUGCUUAAGACUAUUCGUCCUUCUUUAAUUCCAUGAUGAUUUGAAGUCAACAUCCGUGAACUUUUUCCACUUGUGACCAUGAAACUUUCUAUCUAAAAUGGUACAAAUCCUUACUCGAUCCAUCACUGUAAUAAAGAAACAAGUAUGCAAAAUUUAUGAAGACUUGCAGCUUUAUCAUUGUGGAAUUUCAGGAAACAUACGUCUACUGGAGUUCAUGUGCAUAUGAGGUUUUUUUUUUUACUUUCAUUCACAAAAGCCUAUUCAAAAACAUUUUGUGCAGAAACUCGCACUUUCUCUUGGCUAGCAGUCUCCAUAGUAAGAUAAUAGAUUAACCUAUUGAUUCACCUUUGCUACAAUCUUCGAGCCAGGCAACAAAGGCAACUAACGAGUAAAAAAACAAAACAAAACAAAAAUUACAGGACAAACAGACUGAUGAGCUUAUCUAAUUUGAGGACAAACCAAAAAAAAUACCUUAUCUAAUUUGAGGACAAACCAGAUCUUUUGUUUUUCAACUUUUUUUUACUUUACCAAGUUAGUCUAUGAAAUGGAGGAAUAGCAAAAAUAUAAUCUAAUCAUUUAGGCUGCUGCUGCAAUGACAAGUCAAUAAAGAUCAUAUGCCCAACAAACAAAUUGUAUAAUUAGAGGCUCCCCCAAGACAUUGAACGUACGCAUGCAAAUUUCAUUACCGAAUAUCAGGAAGUAUCGUAAACCAAUUCAUAGUGAAAAAAGAAGAUAGAUUCUUUCAGUUUCUUCAUAGUCCUGCUAAUUUCGAACCAAAAUGAAGCAACAAAAAAUUUACCAAUCAGCUGUGCAACUCUGGAGCAGGAAAAUUACAAACAUAUACAAAAAUUUAUUCACACUAUCUUAUCUUUCAAGCAACAACUUAAAAUGAAAUAGGAUUUUACGGCAUCAUCAUUCUUCUUCAAUUAUGACACUACUACAAUUCCCUUCCAACAAAAGUUCCAACUGAACUAGUAACCAAAAGAAGAUAACAGUACAGUUCAAUCAGCUAUUACAGAAUCAGAUCUACCAACUGCAACUGGACCAAUCUACAACUACAAAACUCAUAACUGCAGUGCAAGAAUUAUAACUAAUAAUCAAAACCCACAAAAAUUCACAGAAUAUCAAUCCAGAAAUUCACAUAUUGCCUCUGAUCUUCCUAUAGCAAGGCAAAACAUGAAACUGCAAGCAUCAAAAUUCAAUCUUUUUCCCAAAAACAGCAACCACAAAGGGCCGAGGGGACGGUUCCUAAAACCCAGCAAUCAACAAAGAAAGAUUAAAAAAAAGGGAAAAAGAUAAACGAACCCGGUAAUAGCUUGAAUUCCAGAGUUUUUUGGCUUAGAAUCGAUGCGGUGAGUAGAAAAACUUCAUGCUUCCUUUUUGCUGAUUGCUAUGGAUCAAGAUUGGACUUUGGACUUUGGACUUUGGAGAAGGAUUAGGAUUAAGCCAUUAAGGGGAGAAGGAAUUAGAGACGGCAAUUUUAGGAAGCAGGAAGACCGAAGAGUGAAGAUUGAAGGCUAGGUUUAGAUAAUUUCGGUAAAUUCCACAAUGAUAAAGCUGCAAGUCUUCAUAAAUUUUGCAUACUUGUUUCUUUAUUACAGUGAUGGAUCGAGUAAGGAUUUGUACCAUUUUAGAUAGAAAGUUUCAUGGUCACAAGUGGAAAAAGUUCACGGAUGUUGACUUCAAAUCAUCAUGGAAUUAAAGAAGGAGUACGAUUACUUGAACAGAAAUUCGCAACAGAAAUCCAACUGCCGCCCAAAACCAUGACGCCAAUAAGAUUACUUGUUUGGGUAAUAAACAUUUAAUUCACGUAGCACUAGACUAUUAGUAGUAGACUAUUAGUACUGUACCAGAAAAAGCUAGAGUGAUGCAGGGGUCUCAAUUGCAGAGUGAUGCAGGUUAUACCAAUAGCAGUUAAUGUUCUUCUUAAAUGUGGGCGAGCCCAAGAAAAAUAAGAGUAUAAAAGAGGAAACAGACCUGGAACUUAUUGUAAUAUACAUCCAUCCAUCCAUUAACCAGGUUUUGUUACUUAGUUGGAACUUAAGGCUAAGCUAGACUUAGUUCGAUACUUAUCCAUCCAUUAACCAGGUUUUGUUACUUAGUUGGACAGAUUCUGAUAAACUUAGCUAUAAAGUGGAAAUGAGUGAAAGUUUAACACUGUAGGGGCACAUAAUCCUUGUUUGCUUGUGACACAGAAUACUGCUAAUUAAUAUUGUGCUGAAAAUGACUUUGGCGAAUUCUCAUAAACUUUCAAAGUUUUGUCUUAAGAAGGUUAAAACUUCCUUAGAAACCUAUGACAAGCAGCUAUGAUGCAAUCAGUCAACCAAAUCAAAAGGGCAGACAAUUAUAUUAUUGAAAUGCUCAACGGAAUUGCAAAAAUUCUCUGCAUCCAAGCAAUGCAGAGCUAAAAACACCAUAGGAUCAUGCCUGUUGAAAUAGCAAAAUCCAUUUUCUUUCAAAAUCUGAUUUAUGGGAUCAUGCCUAUGAACUGCUAGCAACGUACAUACAUAAAAAUAAAACAGGUAACACAGGGACAGAGAAGUUGGUUGGUGGAUUGUGGCUGGGGUUAGAGGUGGAUGGAUGGACUGGAGACUGUAGUUGGUAAAUUAGAAACACAGCAGACAGAAGUGUCUUGGAAUCUCAUGACUUGGGAAGCUGCCCUGCUUGUGUUUCAUUUCGUUUGAGGAAAGAUUUCAGUAUAUUAAGACAAAAGUGUUUCCACGGUUAUAUUCCCUUUUCAAUCAAGCAGCUACGGCAAGAAUCAGCCCGUGGCUUCACAAACUCAAUGAAUUCACUAAAACUUUUACAAACGGUCUCACCAGAUUGUAAGAAAAGCACUACCCUACCCUACCCUAUCCGGAUUCUGAUUCCAAGAAUCAUAAAACCCCCAAAACUCAGCAGCCAAAUUAAUUCAUUAGCAUCAAUCAAAUCAGAUUUAACCCUAAUCAGGUAAGAACAAACUAAAACAAAAGCAACCCACAAAAAUUCAUUCAAAUGCAACUUCAAGAAUCUACACCAGUAAUUCUAGACAAUUUUUCAAAGGAAAAGGGAGGGGAAAAAAACUAAUAAGAGACCAUCAUACCUC
rnacentral:lncRNA from 1 species